rnacentral:lncRNA from 1 species
AGUAAAAUGAUACCUGCGACCACAUCCUCGGCUACUGCCGCCUCCUCGGUUUGAGCUGCAUACAUACGCCCACUCGGGGCCUAUCGAGAACCCUCGCUCUGGCGCUGGACGAGUGGCCGCCCAGGCUGGUACUGCGCCGAUGGAGUCCCCUGGCUGACGGCUGGUAGAGCCAGUGCCGAUGCAGUUGAUGGUGCCAGUGACGAUCUCCUCGGGCACUCAGUCCGGAAGUGGCCCUCCUGGCCACACAAGUAGUACCUCCCUCCCCGCUGUGGACACUGCGGUGGAGUGUGAGGACCACCGCAGAUCACGCACUGGGGAGGUCGGCGUCGAUCAGGACCUCCUCGCUGCGCUGCCGGGUCGCACCCAUGCUGCUGGCUCCUAGGGUGUUUCGGCGGCCUCCUAGAGUGCGUCUGGCUCGCACCCUCCGCCGCAGGCCUCUUGGCCUUACCCCUGUCGAAGCCUUCUCGCCGCUCCUGCAUCUCUGCCGCAUCGCUCUCCACGGUGAGUGCGCGAUCCACCACUUCCCGGUAGGUUUGGAGGUUAGAGGUUUGCACGAACUGGAAGAUCGACGGUCGCUUCCCCCGCUUUAAGAUGCGGGCCUUGUCCUCGUAGUCCCGCACGACGAAAGGCACGCAGUGAAGAAGCCGAGAAAACUCCCUCUCGUACUGAGCCACAGUGCGGUCUCCUUGGCGCAAGCUGUGCAGAUCCUGCUCCAUCUUCCUCUUGACGCUGGUCGAGAAGUAGUGUGCCAGUAGAAGCUCCUUGAACUUCUUCUAUGUAAUAGCCGCCAAGUCGGUGCUGGGGUUCUCCUGAAGAUCCAACCACAAGCGAUAGGCCUCGCCGUCCAGAUGGUGAGUGGCGAGCCAAACUCGAUCUCUCUCCUCCACGAAGGUAUCGCGGAAGAACUUCUUCAUAUGCAUCAACCACUUUUCCACGAUCCAGUGGUCGACCUUCUCGCCGUCGAAGAUCCGGGGACCGCACCUCCUGAACUCGUUGAGGCGCUCCAUCAGUCAGUCCCGCUCCGCCCCCUCAACCAACACGGGGAAAACAGCUCCAAUCGAGGGUGCCUGAACAGGUGGCGCCGCCAAAGCCUCCUUCUGAGGCACGGCCACGGGCGCCGCACGCGACAAACUGGGCACAGGGGACGGCGCUCUUGGCGCGACGUCCACAACUGGUGUUUGCGGUGUAGGGGCUGGGUCUUCCUGGAAGCUGCCGCCUGCUGCAGAAGAAGGUCCUCCAGGCGCUUCAUCUGUGCCUCCUGCCGGCGCGCCGCAUCAGCCUGCUGUUCGGCCGCCGCCGCCUGCUGAGCCAUAAGAUCAUUAAGGGUCGCAAGCUGGCUCCUCAACUCACGGACUUCACCGGAUCCGGAGGUAGCGGAGGUCUCGACCUCCUCCAAGUUUGCCGCAUUAUCUGCUACGGCAGAUUGAGAGCGUGUAAUUGGCAUCGUCACUACAACAUCAUAAAAGCGUAAGUUAGUAACCCAUACUAUCGAAUCCCCGCUCAAACAGAUAAUACCCAAAUCAUGCGAAAGUAAGGAAAUGUUCUUCACCACUAACUCCCGAUGUUACAUUGUCGGCCGCCAACGUAACCCUCCGCGAUGUUAGAAGCUAUACACUUCGAUCAACUCCAACUUUUCAGAGUUAUCAAAGAUACCCAAUCAAGAUACUUUCGCUUACAAGUCGAAUAGACCUCGUCUCUCAUGAGCCCAUUUCCUAUAGUCCAACCGGCCUAAGGUUUGCUAGGUCCACUAAGACUCAACCCUAGGCUCUGAUACCAAAUUAAUCUGUCACUCUCCGGGACUCAGCGGAAGCCCGCCCAGCACGCGCACAGACCCGCCAUACGUCUAAAACAUAUAAAGCGUCUAAAACAAAACGAUAAAUGAGACGAUAAAAGAAAACAACUAGAAGUAUCAGAGCACUAUACAACAUCUAGAAACUAAAGCAAUGUGAAAAGUAGAGAGCUAAAAUCACUAAAUAAACCAUAAAGUAGUACAACAAAAGAUCAAAAUACACGAACUAAAAAAGUACAAAGGUGGUCUCUAUACAUGGUAAACAAAAUCUCUCGCUCUCCCAAAACAUAAAAAGAAGGGAAACCACCUAAGAGUAAAAGUAAAUCCUCGCUAUCUAGCUAGCGAUCCCUUUGCCGCGGUCCCAUGCCUCCGCCAGUGCAGAGGGCUCUUAAAGGAAAACAUAAAACAGAGGGCGUGAGAACUAUUAAAUAAUAGUUCCCAGUUGGCAAUUACUGACUUCAGUGAAAUGCACCACUAGGCCCAAAAUUAAGCAAGUAGGGUAAGUAAGGCAGGUAAGAAUAAUAUGAACAAAUAAAUCAGUGAAAUGGAAGCUCACUAUAGCAUGAUGUCACUACUUUCAUCAGUAAUAACCUACCACAUGAUCUCUACUUAGCAUGGAUUUGCACAAGUAAUAAACUACCACAUGAUCUCUACUUAGCAUGAAUUUGCAUAAGUAAUAAACUACCAUGGCAUAAUUGCAGAAGUAUAAGCCCAACACAAUAAUCACAAGCUAGAAUGGUAAUGUGUCAUUAUCUACUAUUCUAGUCAAUGUCCAAAAGGUACAAUAUGUCACCAGUAACCCAAUCCUGUGGAAGCUACCCGUAGGUAGUCCAGCCUGCGCCGUGCCAACAAUGGCCCCGUGGUAAUCAACAUCCCGACUCUAGGAAUGAGCCUCUCCCACGGCAUCCCAUUUUGGCGCCCAAUCCUGCACGGGCGAGUAUAUGUCGCGAUGGCUAUCUCCGGAGUGCCGGCUUGUAGGGAGCGACCCUCACAAGUAUGUGCGAAUGAGCACAAUGGCAUGCAAGCGAAUAAGUCCGUCUCAGGUCUCAGUGGUUCAUCACUGUUUCAUCGGAUCUAAAAUCCGGAAUACAGCACAUGUCCCAAAGGCCUGCCUCUAUGUCAUCGUGUCUAAAACACGGAAUAUAGUAACUGUCUCAAUGGCUUAUCUCUAUGUCAUCAUGUCUAAAACAUGGAAUUUAGUAGAUUUCCAGUGGCCUAUCAUCAUGUCUCUAAGUUGCAGUUCAACAAUUUUCUAGUUCAAGUACCCCUUUAUGACACUUUUGCUUACUAUGUCCCAAUAUGAAUAAUAAGUCUAAAAGCUUGUCAUUCUAAUCAUUUUCCACACAAGAAACAUGAUCUUGCAUCAUUCGUUAGAAUAUUAAACUCAUGCAUACUAACAAUGCAUAUGCUUCUCUCUACAACAUAGAGUCAAUUUUUCAUGAUGCAUAACAUAGGAGUUUUAAGCAUUUUAAAAUUCAUAUAAAUUCUAUUCAACAUGGAUAUGUAUGCAUUUAUAGUAUACGAAAACAUUUAACCACGUAGGAAGCAUUUCCCCCUAUUUCAAUGAAGCCAAAACCCGCCACAACUCUCGCAACUCCUUCGUUUGCUCCGACGAAGGUGUCCACUAGUUUUCUAGCACCCUAGAGGUGUAGAAACAAGAGUUAAACGGACCUUACGAACAACCAUAAGGUUGAUCAUUAACCAUCUCAAGCUAAGGUGGAGAAAAACUCACCUAAAUGAAGAAAUCCUCCAAUAAAGCUCAAAUGGAAGCCAAAUCCCUUCCAAAGCAACCUAAUCCAAGGUUCUAAACCCAUCAAUAGAGCUCUAAAAGCUUCUACGCAAAACGCCCCAAAAUAUAAACCCUAAGUCUUAUUCUAGGGUUUCAUCUCAUAAAACCUCUCAAAACAAAGAUCAAGGAGUAGAAAAGUGCUACUCACCUCUCAAAUUGCUCCAAACUAGGCUCCGAAGCAAAAGGGGUUAAAGAUCUUCUCUCAAACAAGCUCCUCUCCAAGCUCCACGUCUUCAACAAUGGAGAAAACCCAACAAGUAGCAGAGAGGAGAAAAAAAGAGAGAUCAAAACACCAUAAAAUCCACCAAAAAUGGAGAUCAAACAAGGGGAGGGAGACUCACCUUGAUCUCCACUGGUUAGGGCUCAAAAAGAGCAGCUAUGGGAGCUGGGGUGAUAUUUAUAGAUGUUGCAAUAAUUGCAAAUACACCCCUUCCUGAACUCAGCCCAGUCUGCAUUGUGUACCGGUACACGGGAAAGUGUACCGGUACACUUCCUACGAAACUUCCCAAACCGAGCCUCGGGUUGGCAGAAAAUUCGAAGUGUACCGGUACGACAUCGAGGCUGUACCGGUACACAUUGCGUUACGGUACAACCAUCAAGGUUGUACCGGUACACAAUCCUACAGAGGCAACCCGAGAGCACACCAACAAUCCUACAUUUUGAAAUUUUGGUACAAGCUUAAACCCACAAUUCUCGAGAUGCGAGCCAUAGGUCGGAACACUGUCUAUGACCCUCCAGAAUAUCUGGAAAAGCUCAGAACACAGAUCAAACACUCGAACCUCGCAAUUUGCAAAGGUCCAGUGCAUUACAGAGGAAGACUAAGCGAUCGAUUCCACCGAAUACCUUUCCACCAUGCCUUUGCCGACUGUUUCAAGCAAUGCACGGCCAGGGGUACCUUGUCCCGCUCUAAGGUGUACAGCUCCUUGAAGAGCGUUUCCAUGGAGUCAAUCCACAUCACCACGAUCCACGGAUCGACAUUCUCUCCAUCAAAGGUAGGUAGAGCAAACUGUUUGAAGGUCAUGAGGGCCGCCAAAGCCUGCUCUUUCUCCGCCUCCAUUUCCACAUAACGAGGGGCCACGGCCCCCGAAUCUAUCGUCAUCCCUGUCGGUGUACGGCGCGCCGCUACCGGCGCAGCCGCCGUCGCCUGUCGUGCAAACGACUCAUGGAGCUCCUUGAUCUACUGCUCCUGUCGCAGCACUACGCCCAUGAGCGUACUCAACUGCUCGUGGAGCAUCGGGUCUCCGCUCGCCUCGGAUUGCCCAGGGACACCACUUGUCCCAUCCCGCGUCAACCUAGCAGGAGAUCGCCUACACGGUGCCAUCAUUUCCUGAAACAUGACAACUCGAUUAAUUCUCAACCUUCUAGGUCGAGCACGAAACAAUUAACAUCAACUCAAAUCGGGCGAAAGUCACGCAAGGGCGUCUAUUCUCAUCACUCGGCUUCAUGUUGUGUGCACCCAACAUGAACACCCUCGGUUGAGAAUAACCCACACCUUGAAUCUACCUCUAAUAUCCAUUUUAGAGGUUUACGACACAACCCAAUCUAUAAUCCUUUCGCCGCAAAUGUCAAGUCCUCGUCUCUCAUGAGCCUUAGCCUCUAUGGUUUUACUAUCCUAGGGUCUCCUAGGAGAGUCAAAACCAUUCCCAUUCUCUACUUUAUGCUCUGAUACCAUCUUAUCUGUCACGCCGCGAGCCCCACCUAUUUGGUCGAGUUCGGGCACGCCGACAGACCGCCGAAAGGACAGGGUUUUUCUUGUCCCACGGAUAGAAUCUCCCCUAUACGUCCUAGGCGUCGCAAUCGAUACAAUACAAGAGGUUCCAACCAGGAACAGUUUCAACAUACAGAUUGCAUAAGGAAGUAUCAAAAACAUAAAACAACUAAUGCUAUUAGAAGCAUUCCCAUUAUAUGCAUUUUUACAUCACAAUUUUCUUUUUCGUUCAACUUCCAAAUUACAAUCUAGUUACUACAACACUUAGUACAAGUUUGAUACAUUUUGAUCUUUUCUUUUUCAUCUCCCCUAUACCCCUAGGCUAUGCCGACUCGGGGUACUGCUAUCUCUGGUCUCUAGGGUAGGGCGUUACCUACGGAGCUAUCCCCUUGCCUCACGCCGCCGCGCCGCUCACGUGCGAACUUGUAACACCCCAAAGCAACGUGGGGUGAGAACUUACUCCAUAGUUCCCAGUGGGUACGGCCACCCAAGGGAGAAGCUCGACCAACAGGUCCAAAGGAGGCAAACAACAUGUUACUUCCAUAGAUAGAUAUGAAAUCAUAAUUUGUGGAACUAACAUAUAACAUGCUUUGCCUCACAAAUGCGAUAAUGUCGUUCUAUAUGCUUUUUAUGCAACAAUGCAAUCAAAGAAGUAAAUCUACCAAUUCUACUUCUAUUUCACUAUUUAGCUCUUAUCUCACUAGCCUCUAAGGUUUAUAUUACCUUAGAUCCAUGCUAUGUACCACUAGCCCUUAAGGUUUCAUCUACCUUAUUCAAGCUAGCCAUUCUUUAUCAUACUUUCCUAAGGCUGCUUUACCUUAGCCAACUAUGCCACUUGACUCGGUCUUGAGUCAAUCAUCUGUGGAUAAUCCGCACUCUGCCCGGCUCGAGGUGAAGGAACCCUCACAUGCACCUCAGCCUUCAGUACAAGAACCACAUCGCCCAACGGGUCGCCCAGAGCUGCGUACACCCGUGGUCAGGGAUCGCCCGGUGGGAGAGGAACAUGCCGCAUACACCCGCAGCCAAGAUCCCCGAUAGGGAAAGGAACAUGCCGCAUACACUCUAGCGCUCACUGUUCUUGUUCGAUCACAAUCCUCGAAGUUCUUCCGGUGGGAGAGGAACAUGCCACAUGUACCCGCGGCCAAGAACUAUCGAGUUCACAAAUCCUGGGAUUCCGGAAUCCACUUCACAUAGCUCAAGGGUUGGUCUCAAACCCUAUAGUAUCGACUUAUCUAGGUCUGAUGUCCUUUCCACCCUAAGUCCAACUGACUCUAGGUUCAAUGCCUCUAUCACAUAACCUAGGUUUAUUUUAACUCUAGGUCCAUUCUCAACCUAUGUUCGAUGACGCUAGGUUAAAUGCCACUCAUUUUCAACCUAAGUUCAACAACGCUAGGUUCAAUGCCAACCUAUGUUAAACAACACUAGGUUCAAUGUCAUUCUUAUCCAUCCUAGGUUCACGACACUAGGUUCACAUCCGACCUAUGUUCAAUAACACUAGGUUAAUGCCACUCGAUCUACUUGACAUCCUAAUUGUCCAUAUCGAGUACUAUAGAUAUCCACAUUUCAUCUAGCAUACAUUCUAUGAUGCCAACAUGCAUAUACUUCCUAGCAUAUUCUCAUGAUGCCAUUAUGCAUUUAAUAUCUAGCAUGCUCUCAUAAUGCUAAGUGCAACUAGCAUAUAUUCCACUAUGCAUAUAUAUAUCAACAUGCAACUAUCAUCUAGCAUAUAGUCUCAAUGCAUUAACAUGCAAUUAUCAACUAGCAUGUAUUUACAUAAUGCUAACAUGCCUAUAUUUCCAUCUAGCAAUUAGGUUCACAUGCAUAAUUCUCUAAACCUAUCAAUUAGGUUUACAUGCAUACAUUUCCACCUAGCACAUUACAAUGCCAACCUGCACAUACAUAUGCAUCAACAAGAAUCCGCAUUCCACUUUGAGAUGCAGGCGACCUAGUAGCUUUGGUAAGCAUAACCCACCUCAAUUCGCUCUCCGAUUGCUUGUAGUCACUUGCAAUCGGUCUCCCGCGGCACGCGACACUCGGCUUGGCCCGAUCUUGCAAUUGCACACCAACCGUGCACCAAAUCGCGGCUCCGGAAAUUAUAGGUCUUCGUUUAGUUGCCGCGGUGUUCGGGAUCCGUUCUCGUGAUUUUUGGACGUUGCCUCGGCCUUCCAGGCGGAAACAAAGCCAAAACGUCUGUUUCUUCAAUAUCUUCGCAUAGACUCGAGGAAUCACCGAACCGACUUCGCCAAUGCAUCGAAGUACCUAGCAAUUAGGUUUACAUGGGUCAAUUUAGAUCAAACCCAUGCAAAUACAAAAACCCUCUUUAGAACCCUAGCAUGCACAUAUACUCCAAAUAAUCCAUAAUCUCAUGGAGAAACAUGCAUUUAGUAACCUAGGGAUCAUUAGAAUACUAAGAAUAAAGGAUUUAACCAAAUCCUAAACUCUUACCGAUUUGCGAACGCCGAGUCGAAAGCACCCCGCUCAAACGGGCGCACGAAAGCUCGAUCCGUUGCCUCCCACGCAUUUGCAACGUCCUUCUCCUCCAAGAUCCAAGGUUUCGGAGAUGGAUCUAGAGAGAUGGAGAAGAAAUCUAGAGAGAUGGAGAGGUCCUUCUCUCUCUAAAAUGUGUGUGUGUGUGUGUUGUAUGGCUGAGGAAAAAGGGGAGAAAGAAGAAAUAGGGUGUUGGCCCCUUUCUAAGCAACCCCCACCAAUAUAUUACAAGUUUGCCACUCAAACUGAGCAUUUUUCGGGCUCGGGGACCGGUCCUUGACUAGAGGGACCGGACCCCAUAGGUCCAAAAUUUCAGCAUUUUCCAGAGUAAGCCAAAUUUCAACUUUUUUCAGCUUUUUGGUUCGUUUUCGCUCGUUUUUGCUCGUAUGACCUCCGAUUCAUCUCAAAUUGGACCGAGAGUACCAAUACACGUUUUCGAGCGUGUUCAAACCAUCUUUUCAUCCACGCCUUGUCGGACUUUGGCAAAGGUCCACUCAUAGCUUUUCGGGUCCCGUUUUUGCGUCCGGCGCGCACCGAAACACCCGAAUGCUCCCGAACUUCACCGGAAUUUUUCCGAUAGCAUUCCUUUCCAACUAGCAUACCCCAUAACUUCAUAACUUUUGAAGUUUGGUAUGUUACAGUGUAUCAAUAUAAUCCAGAACUACCGUCAACCACUAGCCGACAAUCCUACCCCUCAGGGUACACCGACCUCAUAGGUCAUCGAACAAUAUAAGUCCCGAAACCGACCGACUAGGUCACAUAGUGUCAAAUGACAGAUUUGUGUAAACUAUAAUCAUCCGUCGGCAGUAGCCGACAAUCCCACCCCUCAGGGUAUACAGACCUCAAAGGUCAUCGAACGACAGGAGUCAUGGAACCGACUGAAUAGGUCACAGUACUAGAUACCAGAACCCCCCAACUAGGUCACGGAUCUCACAAGCAAUCGUAAAUCAGCUCCACGGAGAUCGGUUUCCCAAAACCGACUACCGUAACUCGCCGGGGAUCCCGAAAAUUGCACCGGGACUUCACCGGGACCCACGAACUGUCCUAAAAUUCACCGACUCGUGCUACGGGUCACCCGCUACCACUAAACACCAUUAUUUGUGUGUCCUGGCAGCAAACACAAGAUCACACCUCCAAACAAUUAUCAUCGGAUAAUCGUUCGGAUCCGGGUUCCCGAAAGUGUCUAUUUGGACACCGGGACCCACCGUCGCUCACCCGUCAUUUUCAGACCCUCGAAAUGAUGCAAGUGACUAGCCAAUAAGGCUUAGCGAUGACACAAACUAUCAUAAGGCACCGUCGGAAUAAUUCUGAACCGAAAACGGGUUCCGUCUGUAGAUUUUGCCGACAAACGCACCGAAAAUCUAUUUUCGAUUUUCGCAAGGGCUUGGGGCCUGAGACAAUCAGUCCAGAGGUCACCCACAGCCCGCACACGCUGCCAACAGUGACCACAACACAAACAAUUGCAUAAAAAAAUCAAGCGACACCACAAAAUCACUUUAUUUCAUGUGAUUUUCGGGGUUUUACGACCCGACAGUGCAAACCGUGGACCUUCGAGCCUGGCCGAGACACUCACUGCUAGGUCUCAACGUGCCGUAAGCCGUGCUCAUGAUUCGGAGGAUGGCCGACCACUGUGGAGAGCGCGGGAGCGAUGCAAAGAUCUACAAACUGUGCGCACAGCGUGAAAAACAUGCUUAUCUCACAAAUCAGGGGCUCACUGACCCCAACGAAGGUGGCCACGAUGAUUGGCACUGAUCAAGGAUCAUCGUGCUCACCUUCGAAAGACUCGGGGUGGCCUCGGGUCACCGGAACAGUGACCGGAACCCCAAAAUAAUGUGCAGGAACUGGAAAAAGCUUACCAGAGCUUGCUGGAGCCCGAGGGUGGCCGGCGGUGGCUGGACGGUGAGCAGGCCGGCCGGAGGCGGGUGCGGUCGGUCCGUAGGGGCUGGGGCGCGUGAUGGCCGGUGGCGGGAGGCGGCCGGUGGAGCAGCGGAGCCGCCCAUGCUCGCACGGGUUGAAGGAGACAUCGGCUUGUUCCGGCCAGCAAGGGGCUCUGAUGGCGGAGGCGCUGGUGGCGGCUGAGUGCGGCAGACCCAGGAAAGGCAGUGCGCGGGUCCGCCGCCGAUGAAAAGCGGCAGAAGCGGCGGGCGGCGAUGCCCUAGCCCGCAUGCACCCAGGGAAGAAGCUCGAGUUCCUUUUGAGAUUGGUGUUGCAAGUACUUCGAGAAAAGAAGCUGUUUGCUAAGUUAAAGAAAUACGAAUUUUGGCUUCGAGAGGUAGCAUUUAUAGGACAUGUGAUUUCAGAAACUGGGAUAGCUGUGGACCCAAAGAAAAUUGAGAAAAUCAAGGAAUGGCCUAGACCGACUAGUGUUGUCGAGAUCAGAAGUUUUCUUGGUUUCGUAGGAUACUAUCGGAGGUUUGUUGAGGGAUUUGCUAAAAUGUCUACUCCCCACACCUGGCUUACACAUAAAGGAGCUAAGUUUUGUAGAAUGAAAUCGGUGAAAGAAGUUUUCAGGAAUUGAAGAAACAGUUAACGACCGCCCCGAUUUUGGCACUACCAGUUGCUGGAGUAGAUAAUGUGAUUUACAGUGAUGCGUCACUGAAUGGAUUAAGGUGUGUUCUGAUGCAAAAUGAAAAGGUGAUUGCUUAUGCAUCUCGCAAGUUAAAGGAGUAUGAAAAAAACUACCCUACACAUGAUUUGGAGUUGGCAGUCGUAGUCUUUGCGCUAAAGCUAUGGCAUCACUAUCUAUAUGGCGAGUAGUGCGAGGUAUACACCGAUCACAAAAGUUUAAAGUAUUUGUUUACUUAGAAGGAAUUGAACUUGAGGCAACGCAGAUGGUUGGAGUUGCUCAAGGAUUAUGAUUUAACAAUCCUAUAUCACCCGGGAAAAGCAAAUGUUGUAGCAGAUGCUUUAAGUCGUAAAUCGACUAAGAAUUUGGCAAUGUUUAUAACCUCGCAACCACCGUUAGUAAAAGAAAUGAAACGGUUGGAUUUAGAAAUGGUAGCUCCUGACACGCCUUGGCGGCUAACGUCAUUGAUAGUACAACCUACCUUGAUGGAUAGAAUAAAGGAAAAACAAGUUCUUGAUGAAUCAUUGCAAAGGAUUCUAUCGAAAAUCACUGUAGAUUAUACUGGUGACUUUCAGGUUGAUGAUCAGGGAUUGCUAAGAUUUCGCAAUAGACUAUGCGUACCAGCAGAAUCAAGUAUUAGAGAGGAAAUCUUAACCGAAGCUCAUCGUGCACCAUAUGCUUUACAUCCUGGGAGUACAAAGAUGUACAAGGAUCUGAAAUUGACCUCUUGGUGGCCUGGAAUGAAAAAGGAGAUUGCAGAGUUUGUAGAACGAUAUUUGACAUGCCAGCAGGUAAAAGCUGAACAUCGACUUCCAGCGGGGAAGCUUCAAAGUUUACCUAUACCGGUAUGGAAGUGGGAAAGAAUUACUAUAGAUUUCAUUAUAGGCUUGCCUCGCUCACAAGCUGGUCAUGACGCGAUUUGGGUAGUCGUGGACAGAUUGACGAAAUAUGCCCACUUCAUUCCGAUUCAUACUGUUUGGUCGGGAGAGAGGCUCGCACAAGUGUACCUUGAUGAAAUUGUGCGACUACAUGGAGUACCGGCUUCUAUUGUAUAAGAUCGGGAUCCCCGAUUCAUAUCACAUUUUUGGAGGAGCCUACACGAUGCUUUGGGCACUCGAUUGGAUUUUAGUACUUCUUUUCACCUGCAGAGAGAUGGGCAGACAGAACAUACUAUCCAGACUCUUGAGGAUAUGCUACGAGCCUGUGUGAUUGAUUUUCAUGGCGGAUGGCCACAGUAUCUACUUAUGGCAGAAUUUGUUUAUAACAACAGUUAUCAAGCAAGCAUAAAAAUGGCACCGUUUGAAGCUCUUUAUUGUAGAAAGUGUAGAUCACCACUUUAUUUGAGUAAAGUAGGUGAGAGGCUGGUUUUGGGUCCAGAUGUGUUGAAGGAGGCUGAAUCUAAAGUUCAACUUGCAAGAGAGCAUUUGGUGACCGCACAAAGUCGACAAAAGAGUUGUGCUGAUAAACGUCGACGAGAAUUGGAGUUCCAAGUUGGAGACCAUGUGUUUUUAAAAAUCUCGCCGAUAAAGGGAAUCAAGAGAUUUGGUAUUCGAGGAAUACUAAGUCCUCGAUUUAUUGGGCCCUAUGAGCUGUUGGAGCAUAUCGGCUUGCCUUACCGCCGAACCUAUCGGGGGUGCAUAAUGUAUUCCAUGUGUCCACACUUCGAAAAUACAUUUUUGUCACGCCCCGGGACCUGACAUAGGCCCGCCCGGCGCAUGCCCAGACCCGCCAUAUGCCUGCACAUAUAAGGCGUCUACGACAAAAGAGAUGCGAAAGCGAGAAGAAACAAGUAUCUAGAGAUAUCAGAGCUAUCAACAGCUAGACUAAAAGCAAGAAGAGAAAAAUAAAAGAAAAGUAAUCCACAAAAAGUGAUCAUAAAGUGAUACAAUAUCCGUCACAAAAGAAAUCCAAAAUGGGGUGGUCUCUAUACAUAGGUAACUCUCCAAAACCUCUCCAAAAUAAAAUCAACGAGAGGUGGACCACCUAUCGUAACGUCCCUUGGCAGCUAGCCCGAGGCGAUACCCUUUCCGCGGUCCCUAGCCUCGCCCGGUGUGGAAGGCUCUGUAAUAAAAACACGAAAUAGGGGGCGUGAGAACUAUAAUUUAUAGUUCCUAGUGGGCAAUUACUGACCUCAGCUGUCACGCCCCGCCCCGAAACCACUACCAAUUUGGCACGGUUUGGCCGAGGCGGCGGGCCGCCGAACGGACAGUACCUCCCCUGUCCGCCCAAGGCUCAACAACAGGAAUGUGCACAAGAAUUUUCCCAGGAAAUUAAAUUCUAAACAUACACAUUCACAAGGGCAAAAACAGUGCCAACAAUAUAAAGAGCGAGUAAAUCCACAAGAUAAUAUAUGUGAAAUAAAGAGAGUACUUUACUAAACUAUUAUAACAUUCUCAUUUUCUUUAAAUGAAUACAUUUUCCAUUUUCAAAAUACAUAGCUCUCCGAAUCCUCACCUACAAUGAUCUCUCUCAAUACAUAGGUGUGCUAAUGCAAAAAGGAAAGCUACUAUACUACCACGGUCUCACUGGUCGGGCGCGAUGCCCUUGCCGCGGUCCUCUCUCUGCAGCCCUGAACCUACCACUGGAAAUAGAGUGGGGUGAGAACUAUCUUCCAUAGUUCCCAGUGGGCUCGGUCGCCGACUCUACCGAUCUCCCCACUAGGUCCAAGCGGGCACAAGUAACAACAGAUAGAUAGAUAGACAGAUAGAUAUGUAUCUGAAAGCUGUAAAUAUAAUAGUAGGAAAACUAUGCUACUAUGCCCAUAAUCAUGAAUAUGAAUGCAUGCAUCAUAUAAUAAAGGUUUGCUACCAUGCUAACAAAUUCGAUCCAUGUUCGAAUAGCAAUGUUCAAUGACAUUAAUAAACCUUUAACCUUUCCAUUUACCCAAUCUGUGGCGAGGCCCUAGGGCUCGCCCAUGACUCACCUUUCAAUCCCAAAGUGGGGAGGGAGCUCCAAGUGCACCCAAGCCCGGGACCGUCUGCGGACCUCCAUGUGGUCCGGACCUCCAAGUGGUCCUAGACUCGCGACACUCCGGAGUACUCGAGGACAAUCCCCUCCAUAUCGGGAUUGGAUGGCUAUACCAUCCCAAACGCAGACUGUGAGCUAGAUCUAUCCUCUCCAAGUGAGGAUGCCCUACAUCUAGGGUCAACAACUCAAUCAAGUCCUCUCCAAGUGAGGAUGCUCUACAACUAGAGUCAACAUCUCUCACGGGAUCAUUUGUUCCCGACAUUCAUGCAACGCUAUUUAGGUUGUCUAAAUUCAUUAUUCACAAGGCAUCUUCUAAGGGAUCCACCUAUCCCUAGGUCCAUCGACCUCUAGUGUCAUAUACACUACAUUAAUGCCACUCGUCAUCAUUUAACAUUUGGAUGCCACUCGUUUGUUCUUGACAUUAGCACUACUUUCUAUGUCAUCAACACCCCCAUCGGUUCAUCUCUAUCUCUAGCAUCAUAGGAUCCACGUUCCGACCCAAUCCUCACCUAUCUAAGUCACCAAGCGUUCCAAGUACACUAGGUUAUCAUUUAGAAAGUAUAAGGAAGGGAGCUACUUUGCAAUCCUACAAUGCAACAUAAAGAGAUGAGAUUAAAUGCAAUCUAAGACAUAGAAAGGAGUUCGAAAGCUUCGGGAUGGCACCCCCCACCUUUAAUCAAUGUAGAGGCUUUAGAAACGCUCCUCGGCGAACUUUACGAAAAGGCUUUAGCCUUUCCUUGCCCAAAUCAACACUAUCCCGGCCCUAUUUUGCCGAGAACCUCACGGCGGCUCGCCGAAUGCCAAAAUCGACUUCGCCCCGCGUUUUGUGACCUACCAAUAGGGUUUCCAAGGCUUCAAAUGAGAUCAAUCUCAUAUAUUCACAAAAACUGCAUUUUGGAGCCCUAGGUUUGCACCUAUAGCAAACCACCAAUAAAUCCCUAGAUUUCUUGGGAUUGAUCUAUUUAGAAGCUCGUUUAUGGUCCAUUUGACCCAUUCCAAAGCACAAAAAACCAAAACCUUAAGUUCUAGAAGCUAGGGCUUGUAGCUUACCACUUGAGCUACCUCAAUAGAGAGAAGAGAACGAGGGGAAGAUGCUCCAAGCCUUCCCUAUCUUGUUCUCCUCCUUCUUCUUCUUCUUCUCCUUCUUCUUCUCGUUCUCUUUUGUUCUUUAUUUCCUAGAGAGAGAGAGGGAGCAAGAGAGAGUGUGAGAAAGAGAGAGAAUGAGAGGCUGUGAGGGAGAGAGAGGGCUUAGCCCACUCUAAUAAAUGCCAUUUUGCAUUUAGACCCCUCAACUUUUCAUCCAGUGCACAGCCCUCACUGGGCAGUUCUCGCGCGGAGGGACCAGUCUCCCCGAGUUGGGACCGGUCCCCGAGAGCUUCCCUCGGGCGCACGCGUUCGGGAAUCGGUCUCUCCUCGGGAGACCGGUCCUCGGGAGACCGGUCCUCACCUGGGAGACCGGUCCCCGAGAGCUAAAUUUUUAGGACUUAAGACAUUUUUUGGCAUUUCUCGCUGGGGCAACGUUCGGGAACCGGUCCCUCCCUACCAGGGACCGGUUGCAUCAUGCAACCCCGCAACACCCAGCCAAGGGAAUCGGUCUCUCACCUCCAGAGACUGGUCCCCGAGAGUAACAUCAGCCCAAUGAUGCAGUUUGCCUCAUUUGCUCUCGCGGACUUAACUCCAAAGCACUUUUUGUGUUUUGGACAUUUGCAACUCCCGCAAAGGGUAUACUCUCGACAAUUAGUCGAUCCUGGAUGAAGUAUAAUCCUCGGAUUUCGAGAAUUCACUUCCUUACAUCCUCCCCUCCUUAAAAGGAGUUUCGUCCUCGAAACGAACUCAAUUCUUUAUUUUUAACUUAAAUUCAUACCUUACUCCUCAAAUAGAUGAGGAUGGUGUUUUCUCAUCAGAUCCUCGAGUUCCCAGGUGGCUUCGCGAUCCUCGUGAUUGCUCCACCUGACCUUUACAUAAGGAAUUUCUCGAUUCCUCAACUUUCGCACCUCUCGGGCGAUAAUCCCUACCGGAAACUCUUCAUAGCUCAAGUCACCUUGAAGUUCCGGCGGUUCAUAUAGCAUUGCGUGCUCGGGAUCGUGAAUGUACUUGCGGAGAUUGGAGACAUGGAACACAUUGUGUACAUCCGCAAGCUUCGGCGGUAGAGCAUGUCGGUAGGCCACCGUGCCGACUCGCUCUAAUAUCUCAUAUGGCCCAAUGUAUCGGGGACUUAGUUUUCCCUGCACCCCAAACCGCUUCACACCUCGCAUCGGUGAAACUUUCAAGAAUACGCGGUCACCUACCGCGAAUUCUAUAUCUCGACGGCGCCUAUCUGCAUAGCUUUGCUGUCUCGACUGCGCCGUGAGCAACCUCUUGCGAGCAAGGCGGACUUUCUCCUCCGCUUCUCGCAGAACAUCAGGGCCGAACUCUGUACGCUCACCCACAUCGCUCCAGUAUAUAGGAGACCGACACGUCCGCCCAUAAAGAGCCUCGAACGGUGCCAUCUCCACACUAGCGUGAUAACUGUUGUUGUAGGCGAACUCGACCAUAGGUAGGUGGUCACACCAACUUCCCUUGUAGUCGAUGACACACGCUCGCAACAUGUCCUCCAGAGUUUGAAUAGUUCUCUCUAUUUGCCCAUCGGUUUGAGGAUGAAGCGGUGCUAAAGUCGAGCCGUGUGCCAAGGGCUCCCUGCAGGCUCUUCCAGAAGUGUGAAGUGAACUCGGGGUCACGAUCCGACACGAUCGAUUUCGGCACCCCAUGUAGCCUCACUAUCUCGUCAAGGUAUACCUGCGCUAACUUAUCACCCGACCACGUGGUGUGGAUCGGCAAGAAGUGAGCCGACUUGGUCAAUCGGUCCACAAUUACCCAAAUUGCAUCGUGGCCGCCCGUUGAGCGAGGCAAGCCGACCACGAAGUCCAUCGAUAUGUCCUCCCACUUCCAAACGGGGAUUGGUAGGUUUUGAAGCUUUCCCGCUGGAAAUCGACGCUCGGCCUUCACUUACUGGCAUGUUAGGCACUUCGCUACAAAGCAUCCAAUAUCACCUUUCAUUCCCGGCCACCAAUAGUGCAUUUUCAGUCCUUGAUACAUCUUGGUGCCGCCUGGGUGAUUGGCAUAUGGAGAUCGGUGUGCUUCUUGCAGAAUCAAUUCACGAAGCUCUCCAUUCUUCGGCACACACCAUCGGUUUCGAAACCGAAGCGUACCAUCGGCGUCUACCUUGAAAUCGCCGCCAUGACCUUCCUCGAUGUUUCGCCGCACCUUUUGGAGUUCUGGGUCUACGGGUUGUAGAUCUUUGAUCCUCUCCAACAAGGUCGGUUGGACAACGAGUGCCAUCAACUGGGUCGGACGGGAGCGACCACUUCAAAGUCCAAUCGCUCCAUAUCCAGCCACAAGGGUGUUUGCUGGGUAACGUCAAAUGCGAGGUUCUUCGCCGACUUCUUACUAAGUGCGUCCGCGACCACAUUUGCCUUCCCGGGGUGGUAGAGGAUAUCAACAUCAUAUUCCUUUAACAGCUCCAACCACCGCCGCUGACGCAUGUUGAGCUCCUUCUGUGUAAACAGGUACUUCAAGCUCUUGUGGUCGGUAUAGAUCUCACAGUGGGUACCAUAUAAGUAGUGCCUCCACAGCUUCAAGGCGAAAAUCACCGCCGCUAGCUCCAAAUCAUGAAUAGGGUAGUUCUUUUCAUAGCUCUUCAGCUGACGGGAUGCAUAAGCGAUCACUUUCCCAUUUUGCAUCAAUACACACCCCAAUCCAAGAUAGGAGGCAUCACUGUAGACCACAAAGUCUUUGCCCUGCACCGAUAGAGUGAGCACCGGAGUCGAAGUCAAUCUCUGCUUCAACUCUUUGAAACUCCGGUUGCAUUCCUCGCUCCACACAAACUUGGUGCCUUUCUGAGUCAGGCGAGUAAGUGGAAUCACGAUCUUGGAAAAGCCUUCCACAAACCACCUAUAAUAGCCCACCAAGCCCAUGAAGCUUCGAACCUCCGUGACAUUUGUCAGGCGCGGCCAAUCCUUGAUUGCCUCAACUUUUCUCGGGUCUACAGAAACUCCACCCGCGAAAAUCACAUGCCCUAAGAAGGCGACCUCGCGGAGCCAGAAGUCACAUUUCUUCAGUUUAGCAUAUAGUUUCUCCUCCCGAAGGACUUGAAGCACUAUUCUCAGAUGCUCGGCAUGUUCUUCGUCACUACGAGAGUAGACCGAUAUGUCGUCUAUGAAGACCACGACAAAUCGAUCAAAAUACUUCUUGAAGACACGGUUCAUCAAAUCCAUGAACGUCGUUGGAGCAUUCGUGAGUCCAAAUGGCAUGACCGUAAAUUUGUAGUGUCCAUACCGCGUACGAAACGCAGUUUUCUGCACAUCCUCCGGCUUGAUUUUCAGCUGGUGAUAGCCGGAUUGCAAAUAUAUCUUUGAGUACACACACAACCCCUGCAACUGAUCGAACAAGUCAUCAAUUCGGGGUAGUGGGUACUUGUUCUUGAUCGUGACUCUGUUCAAUUCCCGAUAGUCCACGCAGAGUCGGAACGAUCCGUCUUUCUUCCUUACGAACAACACCGGGGCUCCUCACGGUGAUACACUCGGCCGGAUAAAUUGCUUGUCGAGGAGGUCUUGCAGCUGACUCCUCAACUCCUUCAAUUCCGCCGGCGCCAUUCGGUACGGAGCUUUCGAGAUCGGUGCGGUACCGGGAACCAAGUCUAUGACGAACUCGAUUUCCCGAUCCGGUGGUAUCCCCGGCAACUCCGCGGGAAACACAUCCGGGAACUCCCGCACUACCGAUAGCUCCUCCAACGUUGGAGCUACUCGAUCCACUUCCACAACGGUCGCUAAGAACGCCGCACAAUCAUUGCUCACCAACUUUCUUGCUCUUGUCGCCGACACCGUCGCGACAAAGCACGAGCUCUGACGAGCCUGAUAGGUGAAUUCUUCCUGUCCUGACUCGCGGAACGUGAUAACCCUGCUCUCGCAGUUGAUCGUUGCGUGAUACUUCGAGAGCCAGUCCAUGCCCAGAAUAACGUCAUAAACCUCAAGCUUCUGGAGUUCCAGUGUCCAGAUAGGCAUAAUCCAGUCGCCUAUUUGCACGGGACAUGACGCACACUCCGAAUAAGUGUUAAACGUCGACCCAGGGCCCCCCACUCGCCACUUGUCACUCGUCUCUAUGAGAACGUCGUGCAUGCGUGCGAAUGAUCUACUUAUGAAUGAAUGCGUGGCUCCUGUAUCAAAUAAAGCCCUGGAGCGAACUCCGUUAAUUAAAACCAUACCUGCCACAAGGCGAUGCUCCUCCGCCUCCACAGGUUCCUCAGCUUGGACCUGAGCGGCGAAUACCCGACCGCUCGGGGCCGAUCGCGUCACUUCAAGUUGAUGCGGCAUCAUCGUGCGUCCAGUCGACGCGGCCGUCGGUGAAGCUCCUCCAUAGCGAGCCGGAAUCGCCGGCGCCGAUGCAAUCGAUAGGGCAGGUGAGGCUCCUCCUCCCGGGCAAUCUCGAAUGAAGUGCCCCGGUUGCCACACUUGUAGCACUUGCCUCGGCCUUGCUCACAGCGCGAGACUGGGUGGUCUCCGCCGCAUACGAUGCAUCGCCGCGCUCCACCGCCCUUCUGUUGAGUGCGCGGAUACUUUGGGGGUUUCUUGUAACGUGUCUGUCCCCCCAAACUACCGCCGCCUUGGUGUUUCUUGCCCUUGUCCUUAGACUCGGCCCAAGCCUCACGCUUCUCCCGCACGUGGGCAUCUUCGUGCUUCGCCAAAAGGGCUCGAUCGAAGACCUCCACGAAGGUCGUAAGCUUAAGUAUUUGCACGGCCUUGUAGAUUCCCGGCCGAAGUCCUCGCAAGAACCACUCGGCCCGGUCCCGGUCAUCCUUUACAACAUCCGGGACAUAAUCGAUAAUAUGGGAGAAUUCUUGUUCGUACUCCGCCACUGAGCGGUCCCCUUGCUCUAACUUGCGGAAUUUCUCCUCGAGCUACGGCUUCAACGUAUCGGGGAAAUAGUUGGUGAACAUCUCCCUCUUGAAUUCCUCCCACAAUAUUAGCGGAAGGCCGGGAAGUCGAUCCUGUUUAACGCGCUUCCACCAAACCUUCGCCGCCUUUUCCAAGCAGUGGGUGGCGAGAUACACCUUGUCCCUCUACAAGGUACGCAUGUCGUCGAAGAGGGUUUCCAUCGAGUCGAUCCAAGACUCGACCAUCUCCGGUUCCACCUUCUCGCCCUCGAAGGUUGGCGGAUGGAACUUGUUGAACUUGAUAAGAGCCGCCAAUGCGCGCUCUCCUUCCACGUCUUCGGCGGACACAUCGGGUGUAGCCGAUCCUGAUGCCGCCGGUGGUACGAUCGCUGGCGGUGGGCGUGCCGUCACCGGAACCGCCGCUAUGGCCUCACCCUCUGCCGCGCCGGGUAUAUGAGUCGAGGGUGCGGGCGGACCACUGCCUUCAUUCGUCGUCGCAGCCGCCGCCGCGAUAUGCCGCUUCAAUAGAUCUUGGAGCCGCUCGAAUCUGGUCUCCUGGCGCUGCAACACACUGGUCAGCGCAGUCACUUGCGCUUGCAACCGAUCAAUCACGCUCGGUUCCUCUUGCUCGGGCACCUCAGGAGUCGGUGCUGGGGCAGUCCUACGCGUGUAGCGUCUUGGAGACAUUAGUCCCUGAAACGCAAAUACUUGGUCAGUCAUCUUAACCGAUUACCUUGUAGCACUUACGACACACGACGACUCAACCACAAAUUGGGCGGAAGCACACAAGUGCACUUGUUCUAGGCUCUUGGUAUCAUGUCGUUGGCCGCCAACACAACCACCUCAAGACAAGAACUCAUACCACUUGAAUCCGUCUCUAAUCACAACUAGAGACAUAUUACCAACUUCGACCCAAUCAAAUUAACUUCCGCCAUCGCUAUAGGCUCACGUUUCGCUCACGCACCUAUAACCUUAAGGCUUACUAACCUAGAGUCUCCUAGGUCAUCCUAGACUCUCUCUUUUACUUGCUCUUAUUGCUCUGAUACCACAAAGGCUGUCACGCCCCGCCGCGAAACCACUACCAAUUUGGCACGGUUCGGCCGCGGCAGCGGGCCGCCGAACGGACAGUACCUCCCCUGUCCGCCCAAGGCUCAACAACAGGAAUGUGCACAAGAAUUUACUCAGGAAAUUAAAUUCUAAACAUACACAUUCACAAGGGCACAAACAGUGCCAACAAUACAAAGAGCGAGUAAAUCCACAAGAUAAUGCAUGUGAAAUAAAGAGAGUACUUUACUAAACUAUUACAACAUUCUCAUUUUCUUUAAAUGAAUACAUUUUCCAUUUUCAAAAUACAUAGCUCUCCGAAUCCUCACCUACAAUGAUCUCUCUCAAUACAUAGGUGUGCUAAUGCAAAAAGGAAAGCUACUAUACUACCACGGUCUCACUGGUCGGGCGCGACGCCCUUGCCGCGGUCCUCUCUCUGCAGCCCUGAACCUACCACUGAAAAUAGAGUGGGGUGAGAACUAUCUUCCAUAGUUUCCAGUGGGCUCGGCCGCCGACUCUACCGAUCUCCCCACUAGGUCCAAGUGGGCACAAGUAACAACAGAUAGAUAGAUAGAUAGAUAUGUAUCUGAAAGCUGUAAAUGCAAUAGUAGGAAAACUAUGCUACUAUGCCCAUAAUCAUGAAUAUAAAUGCAUGCAUCAUAUAAUAAAGGUUUGCUACCAUGCUAACAAAUUCGAUCCAUGUUCGAAUAGAUGUGUUCAAUGACAUUGUUAAACCUUUAAUCUUUCCAUUUUCCCAAUCUGUUGCGAGGCCCUAGGGCUCGCCCAUAACCCACCUUUCAAUCCCAAAGUGGGGAGGGAGCUCUAAGUGCACCCAAGCUCGGGACCGUCUGCGGACCUCCAUGUGGUCCGGACCUCCAAGUGGUCCUAGUCGCGCGACACUCCGGAGUACUCGACGACAAUCCCCUCCAUGUGGGGAUUGGAUGGCUAUACCAUCCCAAACGCAGACUGUGAGCUAGAUCUAUCCUCUCCAAGUGAGGAUACCCUACAUCUAGGGUCAAUACCCAAUCGAAUCCUCUCCAAGUGAGGGAGCACUAUCACUAGGGUCCACAACCCAAUCAAAUCCUCUCCAAGUGAGGAUGCCCUACCACUAGGGUCAAUGUCUCAAUCGACUCAUCGACAACCUCUCCAUGUGAGGCUACUUAGGUUUACUAAGUUCUUGUCCACAAGGCAUUUUCUAAGGGAUCCACCUAUCCCUAGGUUCUCAAACCUCUAGUGUCAUUUACACUACAUUAAUGCCACUCGUCAUCAUUUAACAUUUGGAUGCCACUCGUUUGUUCUUUAACAUUAACACUACUUUCUAUGUCAUCAACACCCCCAUCGGGUUCAUCUCUAUCUUUAGCAUCAUAGGAUCCACGUUCCGACCCAAUCCUCACCUAUCUAGUUACCAAGCGUUCCAAGUACACUAGGUUAUCAUUUAGAAAGCAUAAGGAAUGGAGCUACUAUGCAAUCCUACAAUGCAACAUGAAGAGAUGAGAUUAAAUGCAAUCUAAGACAUAGAAAGGAGUUCGAAAGCUUCGGGAUGGCACCCUCCACCUUUAAUCAAUGUAGAGGCUUUAGAAACGCUCCUCGGCGAACUUUACGAAAAGGCUUUAGCCUUUCCUUGCCCAAAUCAACACUAUCCCGGCCCUAUUUUGCCGAGAACCUCACGCCGGCUCGCCGAAUGCCAAAAUCGACUUCGCCCCCGCGUUUUGUGACCUGCCAAUAGGGUUUCCAAGGCUUCAAAUGAGAUUAAUCUCAUAUAUUCACAAAAACCGCAUUUUGGAGCCCUAGGUUUGCACCUAUAGCAAACCACCAAUAAAUCCCUAGAUUUCUUGGGAUUGAUCUAUUUAGAAGCUCGUUUAGGGUCCAUUUGACCCAUUCCAAAGCACAAAAACCCAAAACCCUAAGUUCUAGAAGCUAGGGCUUGUAGCUUACCUCUUGAGCUACCUCAAUAGAGAGAAGAGAAAGAGGGGAAGAUGCUCCAAGCCUUCCCUAUCUUGUUCUCCUCCUUCUUCUUCUUCUUCUCCUCCUUCUUCUUCUUCUCUUUCUUCUUCUCCUUCUCUUUUGUUCUUUCUUUCCUAGAGAGAGAGAGGGAGCAAGAGAGAGUGUGAGAAAGAGAGAGAAUGAGAGGCUGUGAGGGAGAGAGAGGGCUUAGCCCACUCUAAUAAAGGCCAUUUUGCAUUUAGACCCCUCAACUUUUCAUCCAGUGCACAGCCCUCACUGGGCAGUUCUCGCGCGGAGGGACCGGUCUCCCCGACUUGGGACCGGUCCCCGAGAGCUUCCCUCGGGCGCACGCGUUCGGGAACCGGUCUCUCCCCGGGAGACUGGUCCUCGGGAGACCGGUCCUCACCUAGGAGACCGGUCCCCGAGAGCUAAAUUUUCAUGACUUAGCCAUUUUUUGGCAUUUCUCGCUGGGGCAACGUUCGGGAACCGGUCCCUCCCUACCAGGGACCGGUUGCAUCAUGCAAUCCCGAAACACCCAGCCAAGGGAACCGGUCUCUCACCUCCAGAGACCGAUCCCCGAGAGUAACAUCAGUCCAAUGAUGCAGUUUGCCUCAUUUGCUCUCGCGGACUUAACUCCAAAGCACUUUUUGUGUUUUGGACAUUUCCAACUCCCGCAAAGGGUAUACUCUCGACAAUUAGUCGAUCUUGGAUGAAGUAUAAUCCUCGGAUUUCGAGAAUUCACUUCCUUACAUCAGCGCAAUGCACCACUAGGCCCCAAAAAGUAAAGGUAGAUACGAGAAGUAAUAAUACUAACAAAAUAACUGCAGGUAUGAAAGCAUGAAAUAUGUGCUAAAUCACUAUGUCAUAAGUAACAUGAUGUCAACAUUUUGUACAUUCACUCUAUCAUGAUGAAGUAAGUACAAUGCAUGACUAAUAUGUCCCAACAUAAUAAGCAAUAGGCAUUAUGAUCCAAUCUAUCAAUAUAUGAUGAACAUACUCUAUCAUGGCAACCAAGUAUACUAUGAUGCAACAAGUGAAACUAUCAAGUAUACUACAUGUCCCAAAGCUACACUAUAAGCAUGUCAAAGUAAUCCAACUACUAUUCCUAUCUAGUAGUGAUUGUCAUAUCCCGGUUUAAUGUCAUUUUUCUAUCAUGUUCUAGGACCUACAUAAGUGUGGUCCAGCUUGUGCGGCCUAAGUGUCAGUGGUAGCUCCAGCAUUCCCACUCUAGGAAUGAGUCUAUCCCUCCCGACCCCGUAGGUUUCUCAAUACCGCACGAGCAAGCAUAAGUCGCGUAGGCCAACUCCAGAGUGCCGGCUUGUAGGGAGCGACCCUCACAAGCAUGUGCGAAUGAGCACAAAUGGCAAACAAGCGUAGUCAAUAGCUCAAGUAUCCAAUCAUCAUGUCUCUAACAUGGUAUAAGCCAUUAGCAACCCAACGGUCUAGUUCUAUGUCCCGAGUGAAGUUCCAACAUACACUAUGUUUAGUGCCUCUUUAUGACACUUAAAUAUUUACAUAACCCAUGCACACUUCACAUUCUAUGCCGCUUUAUGGCACUACUUUACUAGAUUCACAAAUAACCCGAGCUCAAUGCCGCUUUAUGACAUUAGCUCCAUAGUUCGCGAGUAGUGUAAGUUCCAAGCCUCUUUAUGGCUUACUAAAAUCCCUUAUGUCUCAUUUAGGCAUAGGUUUAAAUGCAUAAUACAAGUCUCAUUUUCAUCAUAGGAAAAUAAGGUUUCAAGUUCAACUAGAAUGCCCGAACACAUGCAUGAAUCCCUUAUGCGAGCUCUCUACUACAUAGAGGUCCAAAAUUUUAUUGUACACAAUAUAGGAAUUUUAAACAUUCUAAAAUUCAUAAAUAAUGCAUCUAACAUGAAUGUGCAUGAUUUUCCAUUUUACAAUACUCAAAUCAUCAUAAAUGAGUUUUUCUCAUUAUAUGGCUAGGUCAAACCCACCGAACGACGCGCAACCCUUCGUUUGCUCCUACGAAGGUGUCCACUAAGCUCCUAGCACGCUAGAAGCAUCAAAAAGUGAGCUAUAAGAAGUAAACGAACAACUACUAGCUCAAACAUUAACCUACUAGGCAAAAAGGCCAAAAAUCUCAACUAUAGUGUAAAAAUUCCUCUCCAAAACUCAAAUAGAAGUCAAAUCCCUUCCAAAUCAACCUAAACCAAGGUUCUAAUCCCAUUAGAUUAGUUCUAAAAGCCUCUAAUCAAAAAGCCCCAAAAUCAACCCUAAGUUCUCAUUCUAGGAUUUUUUCUCAAAGAAACCAUCAAAUCUCGAAAUCUAGAGGAAAGAACAAGUUACUUACCUCUUAGAAACUUCAAUCCAAGCUCAAAGUCCUCUAGGUUUAAGGACCUUCCCUCAAACAAGCCCCAUAUCCAAGCUCCAAGCCUCUAUCAAGGUAGAAAUGGCUCCAAAAGGGAAAAAGAGACGUAAAUCCUCCAAAAUCCAAACAAAGAGGAGAUCAAAACCAAAGAGGAUGGUGAAGAGGGCUCCCCUACCUCUUUCUCUACUGGUGCAAGGCUCAGGGAGAGCCCUAAGGCGUGGGGGAUCAUAUAGGGAUGCCACAUUGCAAGAACACUCCUGCAGUUUCAACCAUUCAGAAUCUGCCACGGCGUAUCGGUACACGGGCCGACGUACCAGUACGGGUCCCACGAAAAUGGCAAACCCGAGCCUCGGGUUGGCUUGGAAGCUGUCUGUGUACCGGUACGGCGACGCCAUGUACCGGAACAACUAUCAACCCUGUACCGGUACAGCCACCAACCCUGUACCGGUACACAGCCUGCUGAAGGCUACCCGAGAGCUGACCAAAAAUCUGACUUUUCGAAUUUUGGCGCUAAGCAUUAAACCUCAAUUCUCGGGAUUCGAACCAUAGGUCAGAACACUGUCUACGACCCUCCACAGAGUGUGAAAAAGCUCGGAACACAAAUCAAACACUCGAAUCUCGCGAUUUGCAAAGGUCCAGUGUGUUACACACAUCUUGGAUAUUACCCCGGUGGAGCUACAAGAAGAUUUGAGCUUUGAAGAGCAACUAGUGAAGAUUUUAGCUCGUGAGGUGAAAAGGCUUUGAAAUCACGAUAUACCAUAUGUAAAGGUACAUUGGAGCAAUCACGACGAAAACGAAGCCACUUGGGAACUGGAAAGUGCAAUGCAAGAGCACUAUCCCCAUCUUUUCCAGAUAGAGAUUUGAGGUAGUUGUUUCUUCGUUUCGCGGACAAAACUCCUUUUUAGGAGGGGAGAAUGUAGUACACUGAACUUUAGUAAAUUGCGAAGUUUUAGUGUUAGAAUGGUAAUUAGAACUAUUCUAGAUCGUGUGAGGGGUUGUCGAGAGUAUAUCGGCAUGUCACUUAAGUGUUUUAAGUGGCCGGAGGAGUGAUAAACCUAAAAAAAGUUGAAAUUCUGGUUUUUACAUUGAGUACCGAUACCCCAAAUCGAGUACCGGUACCCAAUACAAUUGAAUGCGUGGAUAAGGGUCUUUUUGGUAAUUUCACUCUUAUGGUUAUCCAUUUAAGCCCCAGCUCGACCCCAGUAGCUGUUCUAAGGUGCUUGAGCUUGAGAAACAAGGUAAGUUCUAUUCCCUAUCUCUCUCUAGGGUUUUUUUUUGCCAUUUGAAAUGGAACUUUGUGGAUUUGAGCUUAUUUCCUUCCCUCUCUUGAUGCUAGCUGGUUUGGAAAGGCUUGGAGCAAUUGUAGAAGGGUAGAAAGAAGAGUUUGGAAGUGUUUCUUCAACCCUAACUCAGUAGGUACUGAGUUGGAGCUUUGGAAGGUGAACUAGCUAACUAUUCUCUCUAGUUUGGAUGUAUUGGUAGAGGUUUUGGUGGAGUUCAUGGUGUUAGCUCACAGCAGGUUUGUUAAACCCCUUUGGCUGAGAUUUGUGAUCUUUGCAGGUUGAUUUUGGUGUGCUCCAACCUGAGUUGAAGUGAAUAUUAAGUUUGGAUUCUAUACUAGGUAAGAUUCUACCUAAGUGGGGUGAUUAUGUGAGGUUCUUAUGUGAAGACUUGGGUAAGCUCCUAACUAAUUAGUAUGGUUGUUAGGGUGCUUGGAGGCUAGCGAACACCUUCGCUCGCGAGAUCGUCAAGUGUAACACACUGGACCUUUGCAAAUUGCGAGGUUCGAGUGAUUGGCCGUGUUCUGAGCUUUUCCAGAUUUUCUGGUGGGUCGUUGACUGUGUUCCGACUUAUGGCAUGUGUCCCGAGGUUUGUGGUACAAAGCCUUGCACCAAAACCCGAAAAAAUGGGAUUUGGCUGACUCUCGGAUUGAGUUCUGGCGGGCUUGUACCGGUACAAGGUUGUGCUUGUAUCGGUACAAGGUUGAUGGUUGUACCGGUACAGCCAUCGGAGCUUGUACCGGUAUAGAGCCGCAGAGCCCAGCAACCCGAGCCUCGGGUUUGGAUUUCGUGGACCUUGUACCGGUACAAGAGCCNAUUUGGCUGACUCUCGGAUUGAGUUCUGGCGGGCUUGUACCGGUACAAGGUUGUGCUUGUAUCGGUACAAGGUUGAUGGUUGUACCGGUACAGCCAUCGGAGCUUGUACCGGUAUAGAGCCGCAGAGCCCAGCAACCCGAGCCUCGGGUUUGGAUUUCGUGGACCUUGUACCGGUACAAGAGCCCGUGUACCGGUACAAGGGGGCUGAUUUCGUGCAGUUUGAACUGCAGGGGGCUUUUUGCGAUUGUGGACUUCUUAUUAGUACCCCCCACGCCCUAGGGGUCUUCUCUUGAGCUUGGGACUAGCAAGAGGAGAGGUAAGGGAGCCCUCUUUGAUUUUCUUUUGAUCUAUUUGGAUUUUGGUAGGAUUUUAAGAGAUUAAACCUCUCUUUUGCUUCUUUUGCUUGAUUGGAGGCUUUUCUACCUUUGGGGCUUUGUUUUGGAGCUUUGUUGAGGGGAGAUCCUUGGACUUGGAGAGUUUAGAGCUUGGAUUGGAGCUUCUAAGAGGUAAUCUACUUGCUCUCUCCCUCUAGAUUUGAUUUUUGUUGAUGGAUUCAAGAUGAAACCCUAGAUUGGAGAAUUAGGGCUUAUUUUAGGCAUUUUGAUUCUAGGGCUUUUGGAGCUAAAUUUUUUGGAUUAGAACCUUUCUCUAGAUUGGAUUGGAAGGGAUUUAGCUCUCUUUUGGAGCUUGGGAGAGAUUUUCAACUCAUUAGGUGAGUUUUAGCCCUUGUGCUAUAAUUGUUAAUGCUUGAUCUUAUAGAUGAUCGUAAUACUCGUGUAUCUAUUCGUUCAAUACUUUUAGGGUGAUUUGAGACUCAUGGACAACUUCGUUCGGCGAGACGAGGCACUACGCGACGGUUCGGUGGGUUUGACCUAGCCUAUAUAUGAGAAAUUCUCACAUAUGGUUAUACAUGUUCCGUAAAUUGGAAAAGCAUGCAUAUUCAUACUAAAUGUAUUUAUUAUGAUUUUUAGAAUGCUUAAAAUGCAUAUGUUACAUAUGAUCUAUGUAGUAGAGAGUUGCUUGGGAGAUCUAUGGUUGCAUUUAGCAUUCUUUAUGAGACUUGGUUUCAUGCUUCCAUAGUGUAAAUGAGUUCGGAUUCAUACAUUUAAACUUAAGUUUACUUGUGACAUGAAAGAUGACAAAAUUGCCAUUUAGAGGUGUUGAACUAGAAGGUAUGUGAACUAGAGAGCUAAUGUCAUCAAGCGGCAUUGAGCUCGGGACAUGUGUGAACCUAGUGGAUAGGACCAUUGAGUAAUGUGGAACAUGCUUAAACAUUAAAUGUCUAAGUGUCAUAAAGGGGCACUAGACCUAGAGAAUGUUGGAACUUCAUUUGUGACUUAGAACUAGAUCUUCGAGAUGCUAGUGACUAUACCAUGUUAGAGACAUGAGGGUUGGAUACUUGAGCCAUCGACUACGCUUGUUUGCCUUUUGUGCUCAUUCGCACAUGCUUGUGAGGGUCGCUCCCUACAAGCCGGCACUCCGGAGUUAGCCUACGCGACUUUUGUUCGCUCGUGCGGUUUUGAGAAGCCUACGGGGUCGAGUGGGAUAGACACAUUCCAAGAGUAGGGAUGUCGGGCUACCACAGAAACUUAGGCGGCACAAGCUGGACUACAUUGGGUAGGUCCCUUAUUGGAAAUGGGAACCGACACGAUAUUGAGUGUGUGAUAAUCACUACUAGACAGAUAGUAGUAGCUGGAUUACUUGGACUUACUUCUAGCAUAGAUAUGGACAUUUGGGUAUUCAUACAUACAUGUAGUGUCACGCCCCGGCACGUGCCCAGACCCGCCAUACGUCUAAAACAUAUAAGGCGUCUAAGAACAACAAUAAUAAAAGCAAUAAUAAAAGACAUCUAGGAGUAUCAGAGCAUAAUAAAUGUCUAAAUGCUACAACAAGGGAUAAGGAUAAAACUGUAAAUCCACUAAAUAAAACAUAAAGUGAUACAAGAAAAUCCCAGAUACAAGUGCUAUAGGUAGAUACAUAGGUGGUCUCUAUACAUGGAUACAAAAACCUCUCACUCUCUCAACUACAAAAGAAAGAGUAAACCACCUAGGUNGCCAAACACUCCAAUCAACUCUAACUUUUUAGAGUUAUCAUAAUACCCAAUCAUGAUACUUUCGCUCACAAGUCGAAUAGACCUCGUCUCUCACGAGCCUAUUUCCUAUAGUCCAACCGGCCUAAGGUCUGCUAGAUCCACUAAGACUCAACCCUAGGCUCUGAUACCAAAUUAAUCUGUCACGCCCCGGGACCAAGCGGAAGCCCGCCCGGCGCGUGCCCAGACCCGCCAUACGUCUAAAACGUACAAGGCGUCUAAAAACAACAAUAAACAAAGCAAUAAAAAAAAAAAAGACAUCUAGGAGUAUCAGAGCAUAAUAAAUGCCUAAAUGCUACAACCAGGGAUAAGGAUAAAACUGUAAUUCCACUAAAUAAAACAUAAAGUGAUACAAGGAAAACCCAGAUACAAGUGCUAUAGGUAGAUACAUAGGUGGUCUCUAUACCUGGAUACAAAAACCUCUCACUCUCUCAACUACAAAAGAAAGAGUAAACUACCUAGGCAAAGUACCGCUCCUCGCUAGCUAGCUAAGCGAUCCCCUUGCCGCGAUCCCGUGCCUCCGCCGGUGCCGAAGGCUCUGAAAAGUAAACCAUAAAACAGGGGCGUGAGAACUAUUAAAAAUAGUUCCCAGUGGGCAAUUACUGACUUCAGUGAAUGCACCACGAGGCCCAAAGCUACAAAAGAUGUCAGUGACUAUAAAAGUAGAAAAGCGAAAGGUAAGUAAAAAAAGGUAACUUACUACAACAUGAUAUCUCUACUUAACAUAAUUAGCAUAAGUAUGAAGCAACUAUGCAUGAAGUAAAAGUCUCGAACUAUCAUAAUGCUCACAAUGCGAAAUAGUAAAGUUCCGUUGUUUACUAUUCCGGUCAAUGUCCAAGUAGUACACUAAGUCAUCAUCUGUCCACAUGUCAUAAUGAAUACUCAAAGUCAAAUCUGAAGAGACCCACCCGAAGGCUUUCUAUGGCCCUGAGACCCACCCGUAGGCUGUCUGGCUGGUGCAGAGCCUAAUGGCCCCGUGGUAGUCAUCAUCCCGACCUUAGGAAUGAGCCUGUCCCACGGCAAUCCACUUCGGCGCCCAAUCACGCACGGCGAAUGUGAAUCGCGAUGGCUAUCUCCGGAGUGCCGGCUUGUAGGGAGCGACCCUCACAAGCAUGUGCGAAUGAGCACAAUGGCAAGUAGUCAAACGAUCUGUCGCAAGUACCAAGUCCUCAUGUCUAAUAACAUGGAAUGUGUCAAGUAUCUCAAUGGCCUAUCCCUAUGUCAUCAUGUCUCUAACAUGGAAUAUAGCAGAUAUGUAGUGGCCUAUCAAUAUGUCUCUACGUUGCAGUUUCAUAGUUUACUAGUUUCAAGUGCCUCUUUAUGACACUCUUGUAAUCUAUGCCAAAGCAUGGCAACUAUGUUCCAAAGUACAUAUUCCAAGUCAUAAUCCUCAUAAGUGGUGUAUUUUUCACUUGCAAAUAAACACUUUUCCUAUAUGCAUGCAUUCUACUCAUAUAGCUCUACUAUAUAGUGAAGUUUUCAUAAUACACAAGGCAUGCAUUUUAAGUGCUCUAAAAUUCAUAUAAAUUUCAUUUAGCAUAGAAAUGAAUUUAAAAAAUAUUUUACAACAAAUAGAAAGAGCAUAGGGGUCAUUUCGUUCCAUUUCCACGAAGCCAAACCCACCGUCGUCAACGAAAGCUUUCGUUUGCCACGACGAAGGCGUCCACCACACUCCUAAUACCCUAAAGGUAUGAAAACAAGUGUCAUCUAGUCGAAACGAAUGACGCUAAGUUCAACCAUUAACCAACUCAAGCUAGGGUUGGGAAAAACUCACCUCAAGUGAAAAACCCUCUCUUAAUCUUCAAAUGGAAGGUAGGGGUCUUCCAAUCUAACCUAUAUAAAGGUUCCAAACCCAUCAAAAAGGUUUCAAAGCCCUCAAAUCAAAAAGCCCCAAAUCUAACCCUAGAAUCCCAAUCUAGGGUUUCAUCUAGUAAAACCUAAAAAAACAUGUAUCAAGUAGGGAUUACAUGCUACCAACCUCAAGAGGAGCUUCAAUCCAAGCUCAAAACCAAGUAGGGUUGAAGUUUGAUCCUCCACAAAGCUCCAACCGCAAGCUCGAAGCCACCAAGGUGAGAAAAUGGGGAAGAAGAUGAUGCUCCAAAGCCUCCAAGCAAGCUCCUUCUCCUCUUCUUCUUCUUCUUCUUCUUCUCCCUCUCUUCUUCUCUCUCUAGAAUAGGUGGGAAGGGAAGAAAUGAGGAGAGAAGAGGGUGAAAUGGCCAAAUAGGCCAUUAAAAGCAACAAAAUCCACUUAGGUCCCUCAAAAACUCAAAUUUACAUCAGCCCGGUCUGGGCAGUUUUCGCCCAGAGGGACCGGUCUCCCCGACCUGGGACCGGUCUCUCAGCCUGCCCCCGAAAAUCCAACGUUCGGGAACCGGUCUCUCCCUGCGCGGGACCGGUCUCUCCCCGCGCAGACGCGCUCGGGGACCGGUCUCGACUGCCAGGGACCGGUUGCCUCGCCGGCUGCGCAGCACUGUUCACUGGGGGACCGGUCUCUCCUAUCAGGGACCGGUCCCCGAGAGUAAAAACUCUCAGGACUCUGCCAAAACUCUCGAGAUCGAACUUUUAGGCCGGUAUACCAUCGACGGCCCUCCACCAAGUGUGGAAAAGUUCGGAAUACAAAUCGAACACUCGAACCUCGCAAUUUGCAAAGGUCCAGUGUGCUACAUGUAGUAUGCUAGGAGAUGUUCUUUAAUGCAUCCUUAUAUGCAUUGUAGCCAUGACAAAGUAUCGCUUUCAUAUCUGUACAAAGUAAAUGAUGAUAUUACUUGUGAACAUGUAGAUUUACAUAUCAUCCAUGACAAGAUAAAGUCGCAUUAUAAAUGCCAUGUUUAAUUGUAAGUUGUAGUUUAGCAUCUUAAUUAUGCUUUCUUAUACGCAAUUUACUCGUUACUAUUAUUGUUGGGCUUACCCCCUUCUUUUCUUUCAGGGCCUAGUGGAGCAAUGAGUUGAGGUCUGUAAUUGCCCACUGGGAACUAUAAAUUAUAGUUCUCACGCCCUCUUUUUCUCGAUGUUUUUCUGAGCCUUCCACGCAGGGUAAGGCUAGGAAUCGCGGGAAGGGAGUUGCUUCGCGCUAGCUUCCUUCGAGGACGAGUUGCUAGGUGGUCUACCUCUCGAUAUUUACUUUUUUUAGCGAGAGGUUGAGGGUUUUGCCAGUGUAUAAAGACCACCAUUUUUGUACUAGAGACAGAUAUUGUACUACUUAUGUUUUCUUUUAUUGACUAGCUUUAUUUCUUUACCUUGAUGUAGAUGAUAGAACUUUAUUUGCUCUGAUAUCAUUAGUUGCCAGUUAUUUCACUUCUUUUAUUUGUUCUAUCUCCUGCUUUACUUCCACUUUUAUUGUAGACGCCCGAUAUGUGUAGACAUAUGGCGGGUCUGGGCACGCUACCGGGAGGGCCUUCGCCGGUCCCGGAGCAUGACAUAUUAAUUUGGUAUCAGAGCCUAGGGUUGAGUCUUAGUGGACCUAGUGAACCUUAGGCCGGUUGGACUAUAGGAAUUAGGCUCGUGAGAGGCGGGGUCUAAUUAACUUGUGAGCGAAAGUAUUGUGAUUGGGUUUAUGACAACUCUAAAAAGUUAGAGUUUGAUCGGAGUGUAUGGCUUCUAACUUCGCGGAGGGUUACGUUGGCGGCCGACAACGUAACAUCGGGAGUUAGUAGUGAAGGACACUUCCUUACUUUCGUAUGAUUUGGGGUUUUAUCUAUUUGAGCGGGGAUGCGAUAGCGUGGGUUACUAACUUGCGCUUUUAUGUUUUGUAGUGACGAUGCCGGUUACACGCUCCCAGUUUGCCGGGGCGUAUGACGCGGCACACCCCGAGGAGGUCGAGACCCCCGCUACUUCCGGAUCUAGUGAGGUCCGCGACUUGAGGGGCCAGCUUGCGGUUCUCACGGAUCUGUUGGCGCAGCAGACGGCAGCGGCACAGCGACAGGCUGAGGUGGCUCAGCGGUAGGAGGCGCGGAUGAAGCAUCUUCAGGACCUCCUACUGCAGCAGGCGGCAGCUUCGAGGGAGACCUAGGGUCCCACACAGCCAGCACCCGUGGUGGACGUCGCACCGAGGGCGCAGUCCCCCGCGCCCAGUUCCUCACGUGCGGCACCGGCGACCGCACCUCGGGAGGAGGUGGUUGCGGCAUUACCAGUUUAGAGACCGGCCACGGGAGCAGCUUUUCCCGUGGUGGCCGAGGGAGCCGAGCGGGAUCGGCUUAUGGAUCGCCUCAGCGAGCUCAGGAGGUGCAGCCCGAGGACGUUUGAUGGCGAGAACGUCGACCACUGGAUUGUUGAGAAGUGGUUGAUGCAUAUGGAGAAGCUGUUUCGAGAUACCUUCGUCGAGGAGAGGGACAGGGUUUGGCUCGCCACUCACUUUCUGGACGGCGAGGCCUAUCGUUGGUGAUUGGAUAUCCAGGACAACCCCGACACCGACUUGGCGGCGAUUACUUGGACACGAUUCAAGGAGCUUCUAUUGGCGCACCACUUUCCUACCAGCGUCAAGAGGAAGAUGGAGCAGGAUUUGCGCAGCUUGCGCCAGGAUGAGCGGUCAGUGGCUGAGUACGAGAGGGAGUUCUUCCGGAUACUACACUGUGUACCGUUUGUUGUGAGGGACGACAAGGACAAGGCCCGCAUCUUUGAGUGUGGUUUGCGGCCUUCUAUCUUCCGGUUGGUGCAGUCUUCCAACCUCCAGACCUACCGGGAGGUUGUGGAUCGAGCUUUGAUCGUGGAGGCGGGAGCGGUGGAUCUGCAGGAGCGUCGUGAGAGCUCGGAGAAGGGGAAAGGGAAGAGGCCCGCGGCUGAGGGUGCGAGUCAGAUGCACUCACGGAGGCCGCCGAGGCACCCCAGAAGCCGGAGCCAGUCGCGGGGACGUGGCUCAUCUACUCAGCGAGGAGGACCCGAUCGUCGCCAGGCCCCCCGCUGCGUGAUCUGUGGCGGUCCUCAUUACCCGCGGCAGUGUUCACGCAGCCGGGGCAGGUGCUUCUUGUGUGGCCAGGAGGGCCACUUCCAGUCGGACUGCCCGAGGAGUCCAUUGCCAGCGCCAUCUUCGGCAUCUGCACCAGCUUCGCCAGGUCCCAGUCAGAGGACAUCUUCUGCGCAUCACCAGGCAGGGCGGCCGCUAGUUCUGCGGCAGGCGGAGGGGUCAGGACAGGCCCCGAGCAGGCGCAUAUACGCGGCCCAGACUGAGGAGGCGGCGGCAGCCGAGAAUGUGGUCGCAGGUAUCAUUUUACUUCAUGGUAUUCGAGUUAGAGCUUUGUUUGAUACCGGUGCAUCACAUUCAUUCAUUGAUCGACUGUUUGCUGAGCUGCAUGGCAUCCCACUUGUAUCCCUGUUGCACCCGGGACGAGUCGUUGUACCCGACCAUUCUUUGGACAUUCGGAAGUUUUGCCCCAGCUGCCCUAUUCGGGUUGGAGAUUGGAUCAUGCCCAUAGAUUUGCUAGCCUUGCAUAAACUCAGGGAGUUUGACGUUGUGUUGGGCAUGGAUUGGUUGACUAAGUACUACACCGCUAUCGAUUGCAAAGAUCGAACGGUGAUUUUUAGAGAGCCAGGGCAGGCGGAGGUUGUGUACCGAGGAUGCCAGAGUUCGCUGUUUGCGAUGACGAUUAGCUCCUCUCGAGCUAGGCAGUUGAUUAGUAGAGGCUGCGUAGCCUACUUGGCUACUGUUGUGUUGCGGGGCGAGGAUGACGCCCCUAGGAUUGAGGAUAUCCCCGUAGUGCGGGAGUUUGGAGAUGUGUUUCCAGCGGAGCUUCCAGGCAUGCCCCCUGAUAGGGAGAUUGAGUUUGUGGUAGAUCUCGUCCCCGGGACUACCCCAAUCUCAAAGGCGCCCUAUAGGAUGGCACCAGCAGAGUUGAAGGAGCUGAAGGCACAGUUGCAGGAUCUUCUGGAUAAGGGUUUUGUGCGACCGAGUGUGUCACCUUGGGGAGCACCGGUUUUGUUUGUGAAGAAGAAGGAUGGAUCACUUCGCUUAUGCGUGGACUAUCGUGAACUCAAUAAAGUCACGAUUAAGAACAAGUAUCCAUUACCGAGGAUUGAUGAUCUAUUUGAUCAGCUCCAGGGAUCUUGUGUAUAUUCCAAGAUUGACUUGCAGUCGGGAUAUCACCAGUUGAGGAUCAGACCUGAGGAUGUGUCGAAGACGGCUUUUAGAACACGGUAUGGACAUUAUGAGUUUACUGUUAUGCCGUUUGGGCUUACUAAUGCCCCGGCAGCUUUUAUGGAUCUGAUGAACCGUGUUUUUAAGCCUUAUUUAGACAGAUUCGUUGUGGUGUUUAUCGACGACAUCUUAGUGUAUUCCCGGAGUGACGCGGAUCACGAGGAGCACUUGAGACUUGUACUUCAAGUGCUUCGGGAAAAGAAGCUCUAUGCCAAGUUGAAGAAGUGUGAAUUUUGGCUUAGAGAGGUGGCGUUUUUGGGCCACGUGAUUUCAGGAUCAGGCAUAGCCGUGGACCCGAGGAAAAUUGAAGCUAUCAAGGAUUGGCCGAGGCCGACGAGCGUGACCGAGAUACGGAGCUUCAUUGGUUUGGCCGGCUACUACCGACGGUUUGUCGAGGGAUUUGCGAAGUUAUCUACUCCCCUCACGAGACUCACGCAUAAGGGCACCAAGUUUAUUUGGAAUGAUGCGUGUGAAAGGAGCUUCCAAGAGUUGAAGCAGCGAUUGACGACCGCCCCGAUCCUAACCUUGCCGACUGCCGGGGCAGGGUAUGUGAUUUAUAGUGAUGCUUCCUUUAAUGGAUUGGGCUGUGUUUUGAUGCAGGACGGGAAAGUGAUCGCGUAUGCAUCUCGCCAACUGAAGGAUUAUGAAAAGAAUUACCCCACCCACGACUUGGAGUUGGCGGCCGUAGUCUUUGCAUUGAAGCUAUGGCGCCACUACUUAUAUGGCGAGCGGUGCGAAGUAUAUACGGAUCACAAGAGCUUAAAGUACCUAUUCACUCAGAAGGAGUUGAACUUGAGGCAGCGCAGAUGGUUGGAGCUACUCAAGGAUUAUGAUUUGACGAUACUUUACCACCCGGGUAAGGCUAACGUGGUGGCGGAUGCGCUAAGUAGGAAAUCGACUGAGAACUUAGCGAUGCUUGUGGUUACUCAACCGCCGUUGAUCGAGCAGAUGAAGCGGUUGGAGUUGGAGGUGGUGGCUCCUGAUACACCUUUGAGACUGAUGACUUUGGUGGUGCAACCUACACUUUUGGAAAGGAUUAAAGAAAAGCAAGCUUCCGACUCGGAGUUGCAAAAGGUUCGAACUAAGAUGGUUGAUGGUUGCACCGGUGACUUCACUUUAGACGGUGAUGGAUUGAUGCGUUUCCGCGGACGACUUUGUGUACCGGCGGACUUGGGCAUUAAAGAGGAUAUUCUUCAAGAAGCACAUCGAGCACCGUAUGCUUUACAUCCGGGAGGCACCAAGAUGUACAUGGACUUGAAGUUGCUUUAUUGGUGGCCCGGGAUGAAAAAGGAUGUUGGUGAGUUCGUUGCUAGAUGUUUAACUUGCCAACAGGUGAAGGCUAAGCACCGAGUUCCUGCGGGGAAGCUGCAGAGCCUACCGGUUCCAGUGUGGAAGUAGGAAAAGGUCACCAUAGAUUUUGUGAUGGGAUUGCCUCGCUCACAGGCCGGGCAUGAUGCUAUUGGGUGAUUGUGGAUAGGUUGACGAAAUCGGCACAUUUCAUACCUAUCCACACUACUUGGACUGGUGAGAGACUCGCACAGGUUUAUUUGGAUGAGAUUGUGCGAUUACACGAGGUACCUACUUCCAUAGUAUCAGAUCGAGACCCCCGUUUUGUAUCCCACUUUUGGAGGAGCUUACAGAACGCUCUGGGUACGCGUUUGGACUUCAAUACAGCUUUCCACCCCCAGAGUGACGGGCAGUCGGAGCGUACUAUACAGACUCUCGAGGACAUGCUUCGAGCCUGCGUGAUCGACUUCCAGGGAGGUUGGCCGCAGCAUCUACCGAUGGCAGAGUUUGCUUAUAACAACAGUUAUCAAGCAAGUAUCAAGAUGGCACCAUUCGAGGCACUCUAUGGACGGAAGUGUAGGUCGCCGUUUCAUUGGAGUGAAGUUGGCGAGAGAUUGGCUUUAAGCCCAGAUGUGCUCCAGGAAGCAGAGGACAAGGUUCACAUUGCUCGGGAGCGAUUUUUGAUGGCCCAGAGUAGGCAGAGGAGUUAUGUUGACAGGCGGUGACGAGACUUGGAGUUUCAGAUUGGAGAUCACGUCUUCUUGAAAGUCUCGCCGACUCGAGAAAUUAGACGAUUUGGAAUCCGGGGCAAGUUGAGCCCCAGAUUCAUUGGACCGUUUGAGGUUUUGGAGUGGAUAGGCCCGGUAGCGUAUAGACUUGCCCUACCGCCGAACCUAUCGGGUGUACACAAUGUAUUCCAUGUAUCGGUUCUUCGGAAGUACAUCCACGACCCGGCUCAUGUAUUGGAUGCUACACCUAUGGAGCUGCGGGAGGAUUUGAGCUUUGAGGAGCAACCCUUGAGAAUUUUGGCUCGCGAGGUGAAAAGAUUGCGGAACUGGAAAAUUCCCUACGUGAAGGUGCUUUGGAGCAACCACGACGAGCGCGAGGCCACUUCGGAGUUAGAGAGCGCACUACGGGAGCGCUAUUCCCAUCUUUUUCAGAUGGAGGCUUGAGGUACUUUGUUUGUUUUGAGUUUCGCGGACGAAACUCCUUUUUAGGAGGGGUGAAUGUAACACACUGGACCUUUACAAAUUGCGAGGUUCGAGUGAUUGGCCGUGUUCUGAGCUUUUCCACAUUUUCUGAUGGGUCGUUGACUGUGUUCCGACCUAUGGCACGUGUCCCGAAAUUUGUGGUACAAAGCCUUGCACCAAACCCGAAAAAACGGGAUUUGGCUGACUCUCGGAUUGAGUUCUAGCGGGCUUGUACCGGUACAAGGUUGUGCUUGUACCGGUACAAGGUUGAUGGUUGUACCGGUACAGCCAUCGGAGCUUGUACCGGUACAGAGCCGCAGAGCCCAGCAACCCGAGCCUCGGGUUUGGAUUUCGUGGACCUUGUACCGGUACAAGAGCUCGUGUACCAGUACAAGGGGGCUGAUUUCGUGCAGUUUGAACCGCAGGGGGCUUUUUGCGAUUGUGGACUUCUUAUUAGUACCCCCCACGCCCUAGGGGUCUUCUCCUGAGCUUGGGACCAGUAAGAGGAGAGGUAAGGGAGCCCUCUUUGAUUUCAUUUUGAUCUAUUUGGAUUUUGGUAGGAUUUUAAGAGAUUAAACCUCUCUUUUGCUUCUUUUGCUUGAUUUGAGGCUUUUCUACCUUUGGGGCUUUAUUUUGGAGCUUUGUUGAGGGGAGAUCCUUGGACUUGGAGAGUUUAGAGCUUGGAUUGGAGCUUCUAAGAGGUAAUCUACUUGCUCUCUCCCUCUAGAUUUGAUUUUUGUUGAUGGAUUCAAGAUAAAACCCUGGAUUGACGAAUUAGGGCUUAUUUUGGGCAUUUUGAUUCUAGGGCUUUUGGAGCUAAAUCUUUUGGAUUAGAACCUUUCCCUAGAUUGGAUUGGAAGGGAUUUAGCUCUCUUUUGGAGCUUGGGAGAGAUUUUCCACUCAUUAGGUGAGUUUUAGCCCUUGUGCUAUAAUUGUUAAUGCUUGAUCUUAUAGAUGAUCGUAAUGCUCGUGUAUCUCUUCGCUCAAUACUUUUAGGGUAAUUUGAGACUCGUGGACAACUUCGUUCGGCGAGACGGGGCACUACGCGACGGUUCGGUGGGUUUGACCUAGCCUAUAUAUGAGAAAUUCUCACAUAUGGUUAUGGAUGUUCCGUAAAUUGGAAAAGCAUGCAUAUUCAUACUAAAUGUAUUUAUUAUGAUUUUUAGAAUGUUUAAAAUGCAUAUGUUACAUAUGAUGAAAUUUUGGACCUCUAUGCAGUAGAGAGUUGCUUGGGAGAUCUAUGGUUGCAUUUAGCAUUCUUUAUGAGACUUGGUUUCAUACUUCUAUAGUGUAAAUGAGUUCGGAUUCAUGCAUUUAAACUUAAGUUUACUUGUGACAUGAAAGAUGACAUUUAGAGGUGUUGAACUAGAAGGUAUUAGAGGUGUUGAACUAGAAGGUAUGUGAACUAGAGAGCUAAUGUCAUCAAGCGGCAUUGAGCUCGGGACAUGUGUGAACCUAGCGGAUAGGACCAUUGAGGAAUGUGGAACAUGCUUAAACAUUAAAUGUCUAAGUGUCAUAAAGGGGCACUAGACCUAGAGAAUGUUGGAACUUCAUUUGUGACUUAGAACUAGAUCUUCGAGAUGCUAGUGACUAUACCAUGUUAGAGACAUGAGGGUUGGAUACUUGAGCCAUCGACUAUGCUUGCCAUUUGUGCUCAUUCGCACAUGCUUGUGAGGGUCGCUCCCUACAAGCCGGUACUCUGGAGUUAGCCUACGCGACUUUUGUUCGCUCGUGUGGUAUUGAGAAGCCUACGGGGUCGAAUGGGACAGACACAUUCCAAGAGUAGGGAUGUAGGGCUACCACAGGCACUUAGGCGGCACAAGCUGGACUACCUUGGGUAGGCCCCUUAUUGGAAAUGGGAACCGACACGAUAUUGAGUGUGUGAUAAUCACUACUAGACAGAUAGUAGUAGCUGGAUUACUUGGACUUACUUCUAGCAUAGAUGUGGACAUUUGGGUAUUCAUACAUACAUGUAGUAUGCUAGGAGAUGUUGUUUAUUGCAUCCUUAUAUGCAUUGUAGCCAUGACAAAGUAUCGCUUUCAUAUCUGUACAAAGUAAAUCAUGAUAUUACUUGUGAACAUGUAGAUUUACAUAUCAUCCAUGACAAGAUAAAGUCGCAUUAUAAAUGCCAUGUUUAAUUGCAAGUUGUAGCUUAGCAUCUUAAUUAUGCUUUCUUAUAUGCAAUUUACUCGUUACUAUUAUUGUUGGGCUUACCCCCUUCUUUUCUUUCGGGGCCUAGUGGAGCAAUGAGCUGAGGUCAGUAAUUGCCCACUGGGAACUAUAAAUUAUAGUUCUCACGCCCUCUUUUUCUCGAUAUUUUUCAGAGCCUUCCACGCAGGGUGAGGCCAGGGAUCGCGGGAAAGGAGUUGCUUCGAGCUAGCUUCUUUCGAGGACGAGUUGCUAGGUGGUCUACCUCUCGAUAUUUACUUUUUUUGGCAAGAGGUUGAGGGUUUUGCCAGUGUAUAGCGACCACCAUUUUUAUACUAGAGACAGAUAUUGUACUACUUAUGUUUUCUUUUAUUGACUAGCUUUAUUUCUUUACCUUGGUGUAGAUGAUAGAACUUUAUUUGCUCUGAUAUCAUUAGUUGCUAGUUAUUUCACUUCUUUUAUUUGUUCCAUCUCCUGCUUUACUUCCACUUUUAUUGUAGACGCCUUAUAGGUGUAGGCAUAUGGCGGGUCUGGGCACGCUACCGGGAGGGCCUUCGCCGGUCCCGGGGCGUGACAUGAAGAGUCGACAGUGAUUCGAUGAGUUUGACCUCACUAAAAUGGGUGAAUUAUCCCUAUGUUCUUGCUAUGUUUAUGAUAUUAGCAAUUAUGCAUAAUUAUGCUAGUACCAUUAUGAAUAAGAUGUUGGAUAACUUAGAUGUAUUUGUAUCAUAAGACAAGGUUAAAUCUCUAUAAAGUAGAGAGUUGUAUGCAGUGAACAUAUGAAAAAUGUACUAUAUAAUGGUUAGCAUACUUGUAAGGAAGUGAAUUCUCGAAAUUCGAGGAUUGUACUUCAUCCAGGAUCGACUAACUGUCAAGAGAAUACCCUUUAUGGGAGUUAGAGAUGUCCAAAGCACAAAAAGUGCCUUGGAGUUGAGUCCGCGAGAGCAAAUGAGGCAAACUGCAUCAUUGGGCUGAUGUUGCUCUCGGGGACCGGUCUCUGCAGGUGAGAGACCGGUUCCCUCGGCUGGGUGUAGCGGGGUUGCUUGAUACAACCGGUCCCUGGCAGGGAGGGACCGGUUCCCGAACGUGGUCCCAGCAGAGAAGUCGAAAUUUGGCUAAGUCCUAAAAAUUGAGCUCUCGGGGACCGGUCUCCCCGACCAGGGACCGGUCCCUCUGGACGAAAACUACCCAGUGAAGGCUGUGCAAUGGAUGAAAAGUUGAGGGGUCUAAAUACAAAAUGGCCUUUAAUAGAGUGAGCUGAGCUCUCUCUCUCCCUCACACUCUCUCAUUUCACUCUCUUUCACUCUUAUUGCUCUCUCUAGAGAAGAAAGGAGAAGAAGAAGAAUAAGAGGGAGAUGAAGGAAAAGAAGGAGAAGGAAAGGAAGGAGAAGAAGAAGGAGAUCAAGGAGAAGGCUUUGGGCAACUUCAUCUCCCUCUCCUCUUCUCUUUGGUGUAGCACAAGAGGUAGGCUCUUGAACCCUAGCUUCUAAACUUUGGAGUUUUGGAUUUUGAUGCCUUGGAAUGGGUCAAAUGGACCCUAAAUGAGCUUCUAAAUAGGUCAAUCCCAUAAAUCUAGGGAUUUAUUAGUGGUUUGCUAUAGGUGCAAACCUAGGGCACCAAAAUGGGGUUUUUGUGAAAGUAUGAGAUUGAUCUCAUUUGAAGCUUUGGAAACCCUAUUGUUAGGUCACAAAACGUGGGGGCGAAGUCGAUUUUGGCAUUCGGCAAACCAACAUGAAGUCCUCGGCAAAAUCGGGCUGGGCUAGUGUUGAUUUGGGCGAGGAAGGCUAAAGCCUUUUCGUAAAGCUCGCCGAGAGAGAUUUCCGAAGCCUCUACAUCGAUUAAAAGUAGGGGGUGCCAUCCCAAAGCUUUCGAACUCCUUUCUAUGUCUUAGAUUGCAUUUAAUCUCAUCUCUUCAUGUGCAUUGUAGGAUUGCAUAGUAGCUCCAUUCCUUAUGCUUUCUAAAAGAUAACCUAGUGUACUUGGAACGCUUUGUAACUUAGAUAGGUGAGGAUUGGGUCGGAACGUGGAUCCUAUGAUGCGAAAGAAAAGAGAUGAACCCGAUGGGGGUGUUGAUGACAUGGAAAGUAGUGUUAUUGUCAAAGAACAAACGAGUGGCAUCCAAAUGUUGAAUGAUAACGAGUGGCAUUAAUGUAGUGUAAAUAACACUAGAGGUCGAUGGACCUAGGGAUAGGCGGAUCUCUUAGAAAAUGCAUUGUGAGCAAUGAAUUUAGAAAAGCUAAAUAGCAUUGUAUGAAUGUCGGGAACAUAUGAUCCCGCGAGAAAUGUUGACUCUAGUUGUAGAGCAUCCUUACUAGGAGAGGAUUUGAUUGGUUUGUGGACCCUAGUUAUAGUGCUUCCUCACUUGGAGAGGAUUGGAUUGGGUAGUAGACCCUAGUGAUAGUGUAUCCUCACUUGGAGAGGAUAGAUCUAGCUCACAGUCUGCGUUUAGUAUAGCCAUCCAAUCCCUACAUGGAGGGGAUUGUCGUCGAGUACUCCGGAGUGUCGCGCGACUAGGACCACUUGGAGGUCCGGACCACAUGGAGGUCCGCAGACGGUCCCGGGCUUGGGUGCACUUGGAGCUCCCUCCCCACUUUAGGAUUGAAGGGUGAGUUAUAGGCGAGCCCUAGGGCCUCGCCACAGAAUAGGUAAGUGGAAAAGUUAAAGGUUUAAAAAUGUCAUUGAACAUUACUAUUCGAACAUGGAUCGAAUUUGUUAGCAUGGUAGAAACCUGUAUUACAUGAUGCAUGCAUUCAUAUUUAUGAUUAUGGGCAGAGUAGUAUAGUUUUCCUACUAUCGCAUUUACAGCUUUCAGAUACAUAUCUAUCUAUCUAUCUAUCUGUUGUUGCUUGUGCCCACCUGGACCUAGGAGGGAGAUCGGCAGAGUCGGCGGCCGAGCCCACUGAGAACUAUGGAAGAUAGUUCUCACCCCACUCUAUUUCUAGUGGUAGGUACAAGGUUGCCGAGAGAGGACCGCGGCAAGGGCAUCGCGCCCGACCAGUGAGACCGUGGUAGUAUAGUAGCUUUCCUUUUUGCAUUAGUUCACUUAUGUAGUGAGAGAGAUUCAUUGUAGGUGAGGAUUUGGGAGAGCCAUGUAUUUUGAGAUGGAAAAUGUAUUCAUUUAAAGAAAAUGAUGUAAAUGGGAAUGAUGAAACUAUUGUAAUAGUUAGUAAAGUACUCUCUUUAUUUCACAUGUGUAUCUUGUGUAUUACUUGCUCCUUGUGUUGUUGGCACUGUUUGUGCCCUUGUGGAUGUGUAUGUUUAGAAUUUAAAUUCCUGGGUAAAUUCUUGUACACGUUCCUGUUGUUGAGCAUUGGGCGGACAGGGGAAGUGCUGUCCGUUCGGCUGUCUGCCGCCGCGGCCGAACUGUGCCAAAUUGGUAGUGGUUUCGGGGCGGGGCGUGACAGAGCGUGGUAUCAGAGCACAAGAGCAAGUAAAGAGAGAAAGUUUAGGAUGACCUAGGAGACCCUAGGUUGGUAAGCCCUAAGGUUAUAGGUGCGUGAGCGGAACAGGAACCUAUAGUGAUGGUGGAAGUUAAUUCGAUUGGGUCGAAGUUGGUAAUAUGUCUCUAGUUGUGGUUAGAGACGGAUUCAAGUGGUAUGAGUUCUUGUCUUGAGGUGGUUGUGUCGGCGGCCGACAACAUGAUACCAAGAGCCUAGAACGAGUGCACUUGUGUGCUUCCGCCCGAUUUUGUUGUUGAGUCGUCAGGUGUCGUAAUUGCGACAAGAUAAUUGGUUAAGAUGACUGACCGAGUAAUUGCGUUUCAGGGACUAAUAUCUCCAAGACGCUACACGCGUAGGACUGCCCCAGCACCGACUCCUGAGGUGCCCGAGCAGGAUGAACCGAGCCUGAUGGAUCAGUUGCAAGCGCAAGUAACCGCGCUGACCAAUGUGGUGCAGCGCCAGGAGACUCGAUUUGAGCGGCUCCAGGAUUUAUUGGAGCUGCAAAUCGCGGCGGCGGCCACGACGGCAAAUGAAGGCGGUGGUCCGCCCGCACCCUCGACUCAUAUACCUAGAGUAGCAGAGGGUGAGGGCAUAGCGGCGGUCCCGGUGACGGCACGCCCACCGCCAACGAUCGUACCACAGGCGGCAUCGGGGUCGGCUACCCCCGAUGUGUCGGCCGAAGACGUGGAGGGAGAGGGCGCAUUGGCGGCUCUUAUCAAGUUCAACAAGUUCCAUCCGCCAACCUUUGAGGGCGAGAAAGUGGAACCGGAGAUCGUCGAGUCUUGGAUUGACUAGAUGGAAACCCUCUUCGAUGACUUGCGUACCUUGGAGAGGGACAAGAUGUAUCUUGCCACCCAUUGCUUGGAGAAGGCGGCGAAGGUUUGGUGGAAGCGAGUCAAACGGGAUUGGCUUCCCGGCCUUCCGCCAAUGCUGUGGGAGGAAUUCAAGCGGGAGAUGUUCACCAACUAUUUCCCAGAUACAUUGAAGCGGGAGCUCAAGGAGAAGUUCCGCAAGCUCGAGCAAGGGGACCGCCCAGCGGCGGAGUAUGAACAAGAAUUCUCCCAUAUUAUCGAUUGCGUCCCUGAUGUUGUAAAGGAUGACCAGGACCGGGCCGAGUGGUUCUUGCGAGGACUUCGGCCGGGAAUCUACAAGGCCGUGCAAAUACUCAAGCUCACGACCUUUGCGGAGGUCUUCGAUCGAGCCCUAUGGGCGGAGCACGGAGAUGCCUACUUUCGGGAGAAGCGUGAGGCUUUGGCCGAUUCUAAGGACAAGGGCAAGAAACGCCAAGGCGGUGGUAGUUCGGGGGGACAGACACGUUACAAGAAACCCCCGAAGUAUCCGCGCGCUCAACAAAGGGGCGGUGGAGUGCGGCGAUGCAUUGUGUGCGACAGAGACCAGCCAGUCUCGCGCUGUGAGCAAGGCCGGUGCAAGUGCUACAAAUGUGAGCAACCGGGGCACUUCAUUCAAGACUGCCCGGGGGGAGGAGCCUCACCUGCCCCAUCGAUUGCAUCGGCGCCGGCGAUUCAGGCUCAUUAUGGAGGAGCUCCACCGACGGCCGUGUCGACUGGACGCGCGAUGAUGUCGCGUCAACCUGAAGUGACGCGAUCGGUCCCGAGCGGACGGGUGUUCGCUGCUCAGGUCCAAGCUGAGGAACCUACGGAGGCGGAGGAGCAUCGCCUUGUGGCAGGUAUGGUUUUAAUUAACGGAGUUCGCUCCAGGGCUUUAUUUGAUACAGGAGCCACGCAUUCAUUCAUAAGUAGAUCAUUCGCAUGCAUGCAUGGCAUACUCAUAGAGGCGAGUGACAGGUGGCGAGUGGAGGGCCCUGGGUCGAUGUUUAACACUUACUCGGAGUGUGCGUCAUGUCCCGUACAAAUAGGCGACUGGAUUAUGCCUAUCCGGACACUGGAACUCAUAAAGCUUGAGGCUUAUGAUAUCAUUCUGGGCAUGGACUGGCUCUCGAAGUAUCACGCAACGAUCGACUGCAAGAGCAGGGUGAUUACCUUCCGUGAACCAGGACAGGAGGAGCUCACAUAUCGGGCUUGUCAAAGCUCGUGCUUCGUCGCGACGGUAUCGGCGACGAGAGCAAGGAAAUUAGUUAACAGCGAUUGCACGGCAUUCUUAGCGACUGUUGUGGAGAUGGAACGUGUAGCUCCAACGUUAGAGGAGCUAUCGGUAGUGCGGGAGUUCCCGGAUGUAUUUCGCACGAAGUUGCCGGGCAUACCACCGGAUCAGGAGAUCGAGUUCGUCAUAGACUUGGUUCCCGGUACCUCACCGAUCUCGAAGGCCCCGUACCGAAUGGCGACGGCGGAAUUGAAGGAGUUGAGGAGUCAGUUGCAAGACCUCCUCGACAAGCAAUUUAUCCGGCCGAGUGUAUCACCGUGGGGAGCACCGGUGUUGUUUGUACGAAAGAAGGACGGAUCAUUUCGACUCUGCGUGGACUAUCGAGAAUUGAACAGAGUCACGAUCAAGAACAAGUACCCACUACCCCGGAUCGAUGACUUGUUCAAUCAGUUGCAAGGGUCGUGUGUGUACUCGAAGAUAGAUUUGCAAUCCGGCUACCACCAAUUGAAGAUCAAGCCGGAGGAUGUGCAGAAAACUGCGUUUCGUACGCGGGAUGGACACUACGAAUUCACGGUCAUGCCAUUUGGACUCACGAAUGCUCUAGCGGCAUUUAUGGACUUGAUGAACCAUGUCUUCAAGAAGUAUUUUUUGUCGUGGUCUUCAUAGACGACAUAUUGGUCUAUUCUCGUAGUGACGAGGAAUAUGCCGAGCAUUUGAGAAUAGUGCUUCAAGUCCUUCGGGAGGAGAAGCUAUAUGCUAAGCUGAAGAAGUGUGACUUCUGGCUUCGCGAGGUCGCCUUCUUAGGGCAUGUGAUUUCCGCGGGUGGAGUUUCUGUAGACCCGAGGAAAGUUGAGGCAAUCAAGGAUUGGCCCCGCCCGAUGAAUGUCACGGAGGUUUGGAGCUUCGUGGGCUUGGCGGGCUACUAUAGGCGGUUUGUGGAAGGCUUUUCCAAAAUAGUGAUUCCACUUACCCGCCUGACUCAGAAAGGCACCAAGUUUGUUUGGAGCGAAGAAUGUGACCGGAGUUUCAAAGAAUUGAAGCAAAGACUGACUUUGGCUCCGGUGUUCGCUCUACCGGUGUAGGGCAAAGACUUCGUGGUCUACAGUGAUGCCUCCUAUCUUGGGUUGGGGUGUGUAUUGAUGCAAAAUGGAAAGGUGAUUGCCUACGCAUCCCAUCAGCUGAAGAGCUAUGAAAAGAACUACCCCAUCCAUGAUUUGGAGCUAGCGGCGGUGAUUUUCGCCUUGAAGCUAUGGAGGCACUACUUAUAUAGUGCCCAUUGUGAGAUCUAUACCGACCACAAGAGCUUGAAGUAUCUGUUCACACUGAAGGAGCUCAACAUGCGUCAGCGGUGGUGGUUGGAGCUGUUAAAGGAUUAUGAUGUUGAUAUCCUCUACCACCACGGGAAGGCAAAUGUGGUCGCGGAUGCAUUGAGUAGGAAGUCAGCGAAGAACCUCGCAUUUGAUGUUACCCAGCAAACACCCCUGUGGCUGGAUAUGGAGCGAUUGGACAUUGAAGUAGUCGCUCCCGAGGUCCCGACUUAGUUGAUGGCACUCGUCGUCCAACCGACCUUGUUAGAGAGGAUCAAAGAUCUGCAAUCCGCAGACCCAGAACUCCAAAAGGUGCGGUGGAACAUCGAGGAAGGGCGUGGCAGCGAUUUCAAGGUAGACACCGAUGGUGCGCUUCGGUUUCGAAACCGAUGGUGUGUGCCGAAAGAUGGACAGCUUCGUGAAUAGAUUCUGCAAGAAGCACACCGAUCUCCAUAUGCCGAUCACCCGGGUGGCACCAACAUGUAUCAAGGACUAAAAAUGCAUUAUUGGUGGCCGGGAAUGAAGAGUGACAUUGGACGCUUUGUAGCAAAGUGCCUAACAUGCCAACAAGUGAAGGCCGAGCGUCGAUUUCCAGCGGGAAAGCUUCAAAGCUUACCAAUCCCCGUUUGGAAGUAGGAGGAUAUAUCGAUGGACUUCGUGGUCGGCUUGCCUCGCUCAACAGGCGGCCACGAUGCAAAUUGGGUAAUUGUGGACCGAUUGACGAAGUUGGCUCACUUCUUGCCGAUCCACACCACGUGGUCAGGCGACAAGUUAGCGCAGGUAUAUCUUGACGAGAUAGUAAGACUACAUGGGGUGCCGAAAUCGAUCGUGUCGGAUCGUGACCCCCGGUUCAUUUCACACUUCUGGAAGAGCCUGCAGGAAGCCCUUUGUAAUAUACCGAAAAUUCGAAAAAUAAAGAUAUCGAACCUUAGUCAAAUUGACCAAAGUGCGAGGAUGGUACACUUCGGAAAGUCCGAAGGUGUUAAAAUGAUCAAAGGUGAGUUACGGGAGGUUUUCGAGAGCUAAAGUUGUGAAAUCUGCAUUCUGCAGUUUUCAGCUCUCGGGGACCGGUCCCUGAUGGGAGAGACCGGUCCCCGAACGCAUAUGAAAUGAGACAGCCGAAAAAUCGGCUAAGUCCUGAGAAAUUAGCUCUCGGGAACCGGUCCCUGCCUAAGAGACCGAUCCCCGAGAGACCGGUCCCCCAAAGAGAGACCGGUUGCACUGCGCGCAGCAGCUCUGGCUGCGCUCGGACGACCUUCGGGAACCGGUCCCUGAAGGAGAGACCGGUCCCCGCCUGCGCGAACAGCCCAGUCCAGGCUGUGUGAAAGAGUGAAAGUUGAGGGGUUUAUUUGCAUUUUUGCAAGCCAUGGGUUAUGUUGGGGGCUAGGAGAGCCUUUUCUCUCAUUCUCUCCCUCACACACACUCUCUUCUCUCCCUCUCUCUCUCUAGAAGGCAAAGGAGAAGAAGAAGAAAGAAAGAAAGGAAGGAAAAGAAGGAAAAGAAGGUGAAGAAGAAGAUCAAGUAGUAAGCCUACCUCUUCUUCUUCCUCCUUGGAGCAACUUUGGGAAAGCUUUGAGGUAACCUUUGAUCCCAAGUAUAGUAAAGCCCUAGAAUGAGCUUUGAAUAAACCUAUAAAUGGUUUUAAUGGAUUGUUUAGAGUCUUUGAAGCUUUCUUUUUGCUUCUUUCGAGAUCAAAGCCAUGGUUUGGCUUGAGGUGAGCUUUGGCCACCUCUAAUGGUGAAAUCCAAACUAGGGUUUGGAAUGAGCUAGGAAUGGUUUAGAUGAACUCUUUAGAGUAUAUUGAAGCUACUUUUGCUUCCCAAUGAGAUCAAACCCUAGGUUUGAUAUAUGUGUUGGAGCUAGGGCACCAAAUUGGGGCUUUUGCUCAUGGGAAUUUCUAAGUGCAAUUGACCCUCUAGAAACCUAAUUGGGGGUAUUUCCGACGCGUUGGUGCGCUCGGAUUAACGUUAUGAAAAGUCUAUAGAAAGAUAUGGGCAAAAUGGCCUAAGUUGGCUUCGUUUUGCCGCAGGUGAAGAACGAGGAGCCUAUAAAUCUCAAGAAAAUCGUCGGAGCACCUAAAUAGACCUACGAGAUGGGUGGUGCUUCUCAAACUCAUUGAACUUCUCUCUAUACCUAACGUGUCAUUCAAUUGAGCAUAUGUUACAUAUUUGUUGCAUGCAUUUUAGGAUAAAGUGAUGAUGAAAAUGUGAUGAUGCAUGAUUGUGAGUACAACUUGCAUAAUAUGAUGAAUGAGAACUAUGUAAACGUCGAAAACCCUAUGUGUAUGCAUGAGAGAAAAGUGAGCACCCAAAGUGAGCAAAAGAACAGAGUGACACAAUGACAUAGAUCGAGUGGCAUUUGAUAAAGUUAAAGUAAAAUGACACUAGAGAUAGUGUGAGGUAAAGAACCAAUGUAAUGUAAAGAAUGAUGAAAAUGACAAUGUGUAAAGUUAAAGUAAAGUGGGGCAAUAAGAACAAGAAAUGUAAAGAAUAAGAAUGCUAAAGAUAGCAAAGGUAAAUGAAAAGUAAAGAACUUGAUUGCUAGAGUGGCAACAAAAAGUGAUGAAAGAACACUAGAGCUAGUGUAAAGUCAAGAUUGAACUUGUAAAUCCUUUGAGUUAAGGAUAUGAU